ACUCGGUUUGUACCCUUCACAUUUGUUGCAUAAAGAAAAGUAUGAAGAUGGGAGACUGGCAGAGGACCAAGCUGUGCUCCCAGCCCCAGUGCAUUGGCAUCUCACAGCCACCUGUAACUCAAGCUCCGGGGGAUCCAGUUCCCUCUUCUGGACUCCAUGGGCACCUAAAUAGAUGCACACAUACACAUGCACACACACACACACACACACACACACACACACACACACACACACAUUUAAAAAGAAGAGGCAGCAUAUGAAACUUACUUUUCAUUGUCCUUGGCUAACCUGUCUUUCAUGAGUAUCUUAGUUUUGUCACAGGAGUCAGUGCUGGUGUAACACUGUCUUCCCAUCUGGCCCGAACUUUCUGAAGUUUCUAACCGCUCGUCACUAAUGAUCACAUUAAUCUAAAUAAAGAGAUUUUUAAAAAAAAGUCUUAUUGACAUAAUUUCUCAGAUUUGCUUUGUUCCAUUUUAAUGAGAGUUUUAGAUUGCAUUUCUCAUAAAUAACCUGGAUCUACUGAUGUAUUUGAGGUCACAUGUUUAUUUUACUGAACGGUAACAACAAGAUGCUGCCUAAUAGUUUCUGUCUCACCUGUACCUACUUGAGCAAAACAAUUCUUAGGUUUUGAUCAUUAAACUUUUGAUUCAGUGCAUGCCUUGAAUAUAUCCAAAGGCCUUAUUUAAGAAAUUUAACAGUAUGUCACUAGAAUUUCUAUUCCUGAACAAGGAGCAGCUUAUAAAUAUAAAAAUAAAAUACCAUUUAAAAUAUUUAAUAAUUCAUUUUAAUAUUAUUCAUCCUAGCACAUUUCAUUUUUAUAAUUACCUACUAUCAAUUUUUAAUUUUUAAUAAACACCUUAGAUCCCAAACUUCAAGUUUGAGGAAUAUUUAUAUUCUCAUUUCCAGUAUUUUACAAAGAGGUUUGUGAUGGGUAGGUGGUAAGGACUGUGCAGAGACUGGCAUGCUGGGGACGGUGACACAGGAUUGGGGAGAAAGGAGUGCAGGCUCAGCUGGGGCUUCACCCUGGAUGUGUUCUCCAUCACCAAUAGGAUUUGAAGCUACCGAAGAAAGAUGCUACUUCUCUUUUCUUCUAUGAGACAGUGUCUCAUGUAGCUCAGGUUGGCCUUAAACUCACUCUGUAGCCAAGGCUGGCCUUGAACUUUGAUUGUCCUGUCAGCACCCCGCAUGCUGGUGUGCAACAUCACACCCUGUGUUUGACUGUGUUUUGGAUAGAGUCGUCGCGGUACACACAUACUCUAUCAUGCAUUCCUUUAUUUUUCAUUCCUCGUUCACCCUCUUCAGCUUUCCCUCACUAGUCCAUUCCUCUCGUUCAGAUCAGCUGCUAAGUCCCCCAUAUUAAUGUUUAUAGUCAAUGUAUUAUUUUAAAGAGUAACCCAUAAGUAAAUACAACAGCAAAGUGAAUCAAGUAUCUAUGGAAGCCAUUACCACUAUCUCAGAGUAUUCUUCAGGGUAGUUGUCCAGGGGUUCUUCCUCUGUCCAAUCCGCUUUUCAAAACCAUGUCAAGUAAUAUACAUGUAUGUCUAUCCACUCCCACUAAUAUCCACUGCAUACAUCUAGGACAUGCAUGUCUACCUUCUAACAUACAGUGCACACAUAUACUAUAACUAACAUAGCAAGUGAAUAAGGACUAAAUAAUGGAAGAAGCGACAAGUUUAAUAGAGAGCCCAGGCUUAGGGAUGUCUGUGCUCUCUAAAACAAGAAAUACAGGGGAAAGCAAUUCAAUAUACUUCGUUCUGUAAUAGAAGGAAGAAGACAUGUGUAUCUGAAGAGACUAAAUUUUCUUGUGCCAAAUCUUUUGUAGACAAUUUUGAAAUAUAAAACAGGAUUCUCCUUUACAAAUAUCACUCUCAUCUGUGAUUGAAGCUGGGCAGAGGAUCUUCAGCCUUUCUACAGUAAAGCUAUAGCAGUGUGUGCUGCUGUGUGGGUUAUGCAGUAAAGGUCCUUACUAGUAGCUUACUGUCCAGGUUCAGCCUGCAGAUGUGCGUUAAAGGUCCUGAGACAUUUUGAAUUUAGAUGCUUUUAAAAUAGAUACAUGAUUUAUAUUUAAUCAUGGUUAGCUUGGCUCCCUCAGAUUCUGUGUAUUUUAUGUAAUUACUUUGUCUGACUAUUUUAUAAACCAUUAAUUUUCCUAUACAUUUAUUGAGGAAAAAGCAAAGAACAACAAUCCUUUCUCUGAUUUACAAAGGCAUAUGUGUGUGUAUGUAAUAUUCCAUAAAAUAUAGAAGAAAAUUAAAUUAUUUAAAACCCCAAGACAUCCCAAGUUAGCACUGUUAACUUCAAAGUAGAUAACUUUCUGGAACUUGGGUAUCUGUGUUUCUCUCUCUCUCUCUCUCUCUCUCUGUGUGUAUGUGUGUGUGUGUGUGUGUGUGUGUGUGUGUGUGUAUGUAUGUAUGUGUGUGUGUAUGUGUAUGUGUGUUAUAAACACAAAUGAGUCAAAUUAUGUUCCUGGAUUAAAAAGUUUUACAUCACUGACUUUUCAUCCCCAUGACUUUCUUUAAUGACUGUACAGGAUUCUAAGCUGGCCUCUUAUCAGAUUUUUGUAGUUUGAAAAUUGAGUGUUUUUCAGUUUGUAUUCGGAAGCUUUUGAGUAAUAUCCUUAUAAGUAUAGCUUAUAUAUGCUGAUUGUUUCUUUGGAUAUAUUCUUAGAAUGGAAUUACCAGGUCAGUGUAUAUUUACUUUUAAAGGUUCUGUUAACCACCAUUAAAGGGUCUGAUUUUCAUUCUUGCCAAAACCAAGCGUUCUUCCUCUGUCCAGGGGCAGCCUCCAGGAAUAACCGCCAGCAUUUUCCAGUUCGUUAGAUUUGUUAGUGUAUGAGCAGAACAGCACGGAUGCCCUUAAGUUCUUCCCUAAGCAAUAUAGGAUAAGUAGAGUCUUGAGGCAUGAGGCUUUGUGUGUGGUAAGUGGGUCAGCUACCUCCUCUAGAUAAUAAGGUCGGUGUGGAAUAUUUGAUCAAGUAAACCUAUGUGAGGGCUAGUCCAUUGUGAAUAUAUCCCUUUCCAAACAGAGAUUAUUUUGCAUACUUUAAACAUCCUCAUUUGGCGCCUUCAGAACACGUUCCCAGCUAGGCAUGGAGUAGCUGUAUUUGAGGUAUUUGUGCUGCCUGUAAUUGGCACCAUAUAAUUUAUUCUGUAAGCAAAAACCAGGCCAUCAUCCUAAGGACAGGUACGGUCUUUACAGGAAACCAAGUGCUUCCUUUUCUAAGAUCUCCAUGGAACUGGAAUAAAUGUGAAAGUGUGUGUCUAUUAUGUAACUUCCUAAAAGUAGAAUCUGCCUGUCUAGAGGUAUUCUAGCAACAGCAGCUGCCACUCAGUAAGUACUUUCCAAGUGCCAGGUGCUCCACACUCCCUAUUCGCAGGCUGACUCCACACCUUUGCGUACAAGAGACACUGAGACCCCAAAAGCAAUGUGCUGAGAGUCAAAUACCCAAGAAAAGAACCAGAAUCACAUCUCAGACACCUGUGUUUGGAAGGUUGUGUCCUCAGCCACCAUUUUACCGCCUGGCACAACAUCCAUCUCGCUCUGAAGUUGGCAUCAUAAUAAAGAUAGUAUAUUAAAGUGGUCUGAUCCACUAUAGAGUCAGAAACCCCCUUGAGAAGCUGAUGAAAACUUUGGAAUCUUUUCCUUGACAUACACAAAUUUGCAGCCCUAAAUCAGAAAUUCUCUGAACCUCAAAGGGCAUCCAGAUCCCUGGAACUUGCUAUAACCAUAGUGAUAGUAAGUUGUCCUCCAUCUUUAGUGAUAGUAAGUCAUUCUCCAACCCUAGUGAUAGUAAGACAUCCUCAUGCAUAGUCAUAGUAAUUCACCCCCAUUCAUAGUGAUGUCAUUCUUCAUCCAUAGUGAUAGUAAGUCAAUAGUGAGUAACAACAGAGGCCACAGAAGCCUCUUAAGUUCUGGUCUUAAGAAGAAAUGAUGGGUACUGGGGUGUCUACUUCUGGAGUGUGACUCUGGAAAUGUUCCUGUAAAAUGAACUAGCCUUGGUUUCUCAACACUCCCAAUAAGGGCUUCAACUAUGUGAAGCAAUUCUAUUUCUUCAACUGAACUUUGAUAAUACAUAACUUGGCCAAAGUGGGCUGGGAAGUUGGCUUUGAAGUCAGAAAUACUUGGGUUCGUCUAUUUAACUAGCACUGUUUCUAUUUCGAUGGGUUUGGCCUUUUACCUUCCUCGUCUGCAGACUAGGAAAUUAUUUUCACACAAAGAAUCUAAGAACAGAUCCACUAGGUUCCUCUGAUCCCGUUUGUGCCGUGAUACCUGUCAUAUGCUCAGCCUCAUGGUCAAUACCUGAAAAGAACUGCACAGAGCAAUUUCAUUCUGUGUACAUCUAACACCUCAGUGGCAGAAUAGUCACGGGACCUGCUGACUGUGGGAAAUGGGUUAACACGUGAGUGCUCAUACCAUACCUACUGAGCGAGUGUAAAGGGUUUACAGUCUCACCCCAAACAAAUUAAAAUCCUGUUGACUUCAGAAGUUCUUCCUUAGGAAAUACAUACAGUUAUGGUGGUCCUGGAACUCACUCUGUAGAGCAGGCUGGCCUUGAACUCAGAGAUCUGCCUGUCUCUGCCUCCAGAGCUCUGAGAUCAAAGGUGUGCACCACCGUGGCCUGGCAGGAAAGAUCUACAGUUUUAACUGUUUGACAAUUGUGUAGCUUAUUACGGGAUGGAGCUGGCAAAUCACAGGAGGAAUGUCCUAAGGCAGAAGUAGUCCCACUAGACCCCAGUGAGCAUCGUCCCCAUCAAGCUUCUCCUUGAGCCAAGCUACUUAGGAAUUGCUGGCAGGUCUGUAGCUAACCCUGUAGAUUCCCACGGAGACACGUGGAUCUUAACCCACCUUCAGUGCAUCUAGUAUAGAGUAGCGGAUACACUCGGCCUGGUUUUUUAGACCAUUUGCUGGUGUUGAAGCAUAUGCACGUCUAAGUAGCUUCCUCCAAUCGAGACCCUCGUUUCCAUCAGGACUUGCUCCCAUCUCCACUACAACCUUAUUCAAAAGGUGUUUAUUAAUCAAAAUCGAAGUGGCCUAUUCCUCAAACCCAGGCGUAGUGUUUCAGACUUAACAAAUUUAGAUUUGUUCAUGCACAGCUGAGGCGGAACCUCCACAGGAAGGUAGUCGCAGCAGUUGAGUGUGCGCAGACAGUCGCCUAUGAAGUCUUUUCUAAAGGUCCUUUCCCCCUCAUCUCUCACUCUGUCUUCUCAUAACCACACUCAUUACAACUGCUGAGAAAGAAAACCAGUUUGAAUGAGUCCUAUAAAAUGAUCAUUUUCGGUUUUCCAAAGUCCAUCUUCUGAGAAGAAAUCAUCAGCACAGCACAUUUGUUCUGGGCGUCAUGUGUGCUUGACCUCCAUGCCGUUGUUAGGCUACCGGGAAAGGCCAAGCGAUCAGCAGUCCCCGUGUCUCUCGGAUUUGAAUGUCCCUCCUUGGAUUCGGACUUUGCGAAGUUGGGUUGUAACUUUUUACAGGACCCUGCUUGCUCCCCUAUCGCACUUGUUACAAACCCGAUACUUUUUGCCAUAUUGCAGGGAUGGAUUAAUCUCACCUGGUGUAUUAAGAACAAACCCAGUGUGGGAUUUGUGGGACUUGUGGGAUGUUAUGACCUUUUCAUGGGGCUAUAAUUUGCAUACCACCAAGGCUACCAUUUGAAAGUGCAUUAAUUCAGUGAUUUUUGUUUUCUCAAAAUGCUGUAUUGCAAACACUCCUGUAUAAUUCUAGGACCUUUCCACCAUCCCUAAAAGAAGCUGUAUGAGCAGUCGCUCUCGCAGUUGCUCUCCAUCGGUUCUCUCCCUCACCCUUUCAACACGACAAGGUAGCCUGUCCCAGUACCUAGCCUGUUCUGGAAUCUUGUAUAAACGAAGCCACAGACCGCACGUAGCUUGUUCUCAUCUGGUUCAGAGCUGAAGCGUCUAAAGUUCAUUCCUUCUGAUGACGACUGAAGGAAAUUCUGUCACAUUUUGUCUUUUUCUCAGGUCACAAAUAUUUGGCUUAUUUUCCUCUCUGUUGUAUUACUGAAAAUGCUGGUUCAAACACAUACAUUUUGGCAUACGUGACUUUGUAUGUGCCUAAAAGUAGAAUGUCUAGGUCACAUGGUAACUCCGCUUAAUUUUGAGUACUGGCUACUGAACUACUUUUAACACAAAAAUCAUCCUUUUUUUUUUUUAAUUUCCACCAACAAUGUGGAGGCAAAGAAGAUUUCCCCAUCCAUGCCAGUGACUGUCAUUAUCUCCUAAUUAAUUGUUAAUAUUCUGUUAGAUAUGAAGUUAUAUCUAACCAUAGUGUUGGCGUACCUUUACCUAAUGUCCAGUAGUAUGGAGUGUGUUUUCAUGUACUUAUUGUGUGUGUGUAUGUCUAGAUCCUUAUCAGAUAUAUAAUUUUAAAAUAUCCCCUAUUCAAUGCACCCAUCACUUUCCUGGCAGUGGAUCUGACUCAAAACCCUCACCCUGAGAGAGCCUCCUCUGUUUUCCCUUUGCCAAGCCUUAGGUUUCAUGUCUACAAAAUGACUGUUACUCACAAAGAUUCUCAACAAUUUUUAAUGUUUGAAUUGAAGUGAGGUCUUUGUUUUGCUUGCACAUGUUGUUAUAUGUGGUUCUAGAAAGAGGUCAGAUUCAUCUGCACAGAGAUGUCUCAGGGCCUCAGAAAGUGUCCUUUGUUACAACUCUUCUUUUCCCAUUUAAAUGGUACUGCUAACAUUCAGUUGAGUGCAUGUGUGUAUAUUAAUUUCUAAACGCCCCGUCCUCUUCCACUGAUGUGUGGACACAGUAUUACAACAGCAUCACGGAUUUCCUUGUUGGGUUUUUGUUUUGUUUUUGCUUUUGUCCUGUUUUGGUUUUGUUUUGUUUGAGACAGUCUUAUGUACCUCAGGCUAUCCUCAGCCUUGUUGUACACUGAGGGUGACCUUGAAUGGAUCCACUUUCCUCUAUUUCCCCAUGCUGAGAGGACAGGUACCUACCACUGCACCUGGCUCCAGUCUUGACUACUACGACCUUACAGCAGUCAGGCCUGACGGUCUUGCCUUGAGUAGGAAUUGCUCUUCCUGGAGUUUGUUUUGACUAGUUCAUGUUCCCUGCACUUCAGUACUAACCUUGGGCCAGCUUCUCAGUCGCGCCCACACUAGACUGCCUUGUACAUCUGGCUAUGUGUUUAAUUUCACCAUUAGACUGAAGAGUGCCCAGCCUUCUUUCUCCUUUCAGACAGUGGCUGCCAUUCCUUGGCUACCUCUUUUGUCACUCUAUAUAAACUGUAGCAUUAGCUCUGUGGUAUCAACUGGUAAUUUUGAUAAGGCUGUUUAAUUUAAAUUUACUUUGCCAUAUAAAUUAUAGAUGUAAUGGCAGAGUGUGUUUAUAUGUACAUAUCAGGUAAUGUUUAAUGCAGAUUAAACAUUCAUUUGCUCAAACAUUUCUCCUAACUUUACUGUGAAAAGCCAAUCUUUUAGCUUUCUCAAAUGUACAGUGCAUUAUUGUUCCCUGUAGUCAUCUUUCUGCAUAACAGGACACCAGAAAUUCUUACACUCAUCUCACUGUCUGAGCACCCAUUGUAAACUUCCCUUUAUCUGUCCAUCCACUCUGGAGGCCACUGUUCUGCCUUUGACUUCCAUGAGGUCAUGGCUGUAGACUCUAGCCUAGGUGAGUUCAAUGCCUUUCCUUUCUCACACAGUGCUAUGAGCGCUGGUGAGAAUGGCUAUCCGGGCUGCAUGAAAUAGAUUCAGUGGAUGUUAAGUGAAUCAACUAAAGCUUACAAAGAGAAAAAGAACUAAGACUAACUGAUGGCGAGCAUGUGAGAGAAAGGAAUGUGUAUACUGUCGGGGGCUUUGAAUUAGUGAAGAUUAUGGAAAAUGUAUGAUGGUUCCUCCAAAGAGUUAAAAGUAAAGCUAUGACAUGACCCAGGCAUCCAGCUCCUGUGAACAUAUACAAGUAAAUGCCUCAAAGAGACAAACCUUCACGGUGUUGUCCACCUGUCUUUCCCGCCCACUUCUUUCCACAGACACUCCUUUUCUCAGUUUGAUGGUUAGGAGGAGGGUUUCCGCAUGUUUUCGUUGUGUUCCAUGGUGGUACAGCACUGGGUCACAGUCAGGAGGUAAUGCAGGGAGGGCAAGGGAGCCCACUGCCACAGAAGCAGACAUCCACCUGGAAGUUGUCACCUUCCCUGGAUAUAGGGCUACCUGGCCCACUCUGUCACUGUGGUAACUUUACAGAGGCCUCCUGAGCUGGCUAUUUUUUGUGGUUGUUGUUGUUGUUGUCUUGCUUGGUUGUUGUUUUCAUUAGGGAUAAUUUUAUUGAUUUUUUUUUUGAGCAGUCCUAUUUGGUUUUACCCUAGGUUGCUGGGCUAUCCAGGCUCUGGUACUUGGUUACUCAAGCAGUGUUGGAUAUGGGUUCCUUCUUAUGGAGUAGGCCUUAAGUAAGAUCAGACAUUGAUUGAUUUUACUCCCACAAGUUCUGUGCCACCAUUAUCCUAGCAUAGUUUGCAGGCAGGACAGAUUACAGGUCAAUGGUUUUGUGGCUCAGUUAGCGCCCAUGUUUCUCUUUUGGUAGCCCUCAGAGUACCCUCUUGCACCAAAGAGACUAGAAUGGAGAGGUGAAGGCUCCAUGUGGACGCCAGUUCAGUGGGUUGUGUGGAUGUUGUAGAGAGUAGCCCUUUGUCUUAACAUUACCCUACACUGUUUGAGGAUUUCUGUAGUACCCUGUUGGCCAACAACUCAGUGGAUUGCAAACCAGUCCCACCACUGUAGGCCUUGUCUGGGAACAAGAGAUCAACAGCUGAGACUCUGAAUCCCCCAUUAUUAGAUCCUCAUUAGGGUUACUCUCAUAGAUUCCAGGAAGUUUUCACUGCUCUAGGUUUCCAUGCCACACCCCAGAAACCACCCUUAAUUCCACCCAUCUCUCCCCAUACUUUCUCCCUUCAUCUCAUCUCCCAGUUCAUGUGAUCUUCUUGUCCCUGUCCCCAGGCAUCUGCAGUCCAUUCAUAAAAUCUAUUCUAUUUUCGCUUCCCAGAGGGAUCAGUGCGUGUCCCCUAGUCCCAUCAUCUUCACCUAACCUCACUGGGUCUAUGGAUUGUAGCUUGAUUAUCAUUUACUUAGUGGCUAAUAUCUACUUAUAAGGGGAAGCUACCGUAUUUAUCUUUCUGAGUCUAGGUUAUCACACGCAGUAUGAUUUUUUUCCAGUUUCAUCCAUUUUCUGGCAGAUUUAAUGGUAUCAUUUUUAAAAAGAAUUAUUUAUUUUACGUAUGUGAUUAUACUGUGGCUGUCUUCGGACACACCGAAGGAGCACAUUGUAUACCACUACAGAUGGUUGUGAGCCAACAUUUGGUUGCUGGGAAUUGAACUCAAGACCUCUGGAAGAACUUCUGAGCCAUCUCUCCAGCCCCCAUAUCAUUUUUUUUAACAGCUGAGAGAUACACCAUUGUGUAACUGCACCACAUUUUGUUUAUCCAUUCCUCUAUUGACGGACAACUAAGUUGUUUUCAGUGUCUGAGUAUUAUGAAUAAAGACAAAUGAAUAUAUCUGAGCAAGUGUUCUUGUGGAGAACCCUUUGGGUGUAUGCUCAAGAGUGAUAUAGCUGGGUCUUGGGGUAGGUCUAUUCCCAAUUUUCUGAGGAACUGCCAUAUUGAUUUCCAUAGUGGCUAUACAAGUUUUCACUCCUACCAGCAAUGGAGGCAUGUUCCCCCUUUUCCACAUCCUUACCCGCAUGAGCUGUCACUUAGGUUAUUGAUCUUAGCCAUUCUGACAGGUGUAAAAUAGAAUAUCAAUGUUAUCUUGAUUUGCAUCUCAAUGAAAGUUAAGGAUGUUGAAUGUUUUUUAAGUGUUUCUCAGCCAUUAGGGAUUCCUCUAUUGACAAUUCUCUAUUUAGAUCUAUACUUACCUCCUUUUUUAAUUGAAGUAUUUGGGGGUUUCUUAUAUCUAGUUUCUUGAGUUCUUUAUAUAUUUUGGAUAUUAAUCCUCUGUAGAAUGUAGAAUUGAUAGAAACAUUUUUCUAUUUUUUUAUUCUUUAUUAACUUGGGUAUUUCUUGUUUACAUUUCAAUUGUUAUUCCCUUUCCCGGUUUCCAGACCAACAUCCUCCUAACCCCUCCCCCUCCCCUUCGAUAUGGGUGUUCCCCUCCGCAUCCUCCCCCCAUUACCGCCCUCCCCCUAACAAUCCCGUUCACUGGGGGUUCAGUCUUAGCAGGACCAAGGGCUUCCCCUUCUACUGGUGCUCUUACUAGGCUAUUCAUUGCUACCUAUGAGGUUGGAGUCAGUCCAUGUAUAGUCUUUGGGUAGUGGCUUAGUCCCUGGAAGCUCUGGUUGGUUGGCAUUGUUGAUACAUUUUUCUAUUCUGUAGGCUAUUGCUUUACCCAAUUGGUAGUAUCCUUUGUCUUACAGAAGCUUUUCAGUUUCAUGAGAUCCUACUUUAAUUGUUGAUCUUAGUGCCUGCACUAUUGGUGUUCUGUACAAGAAGCUGUCUCCUGUGCUGAUGCUUUCAAGGCUAUUCCUUACUUUCUCUUCUGUCAGUUUUGGUGUAUCUGGUUCUAUGUUGAGGUCUUUGAUCCACUUGGGCCUACGUUUUAUGCAGCGUGAUAAAUAUGGAUCUGUUUGCUUUCUUCUACAUGCUGACUGACAUCCAGUUAGACCAGCACCAUUUGUAGAAGUUGCUUUCUUUUUCAGUGUGUAUAUCUGGCUUCUUUUACAAAAAUUAAGUAGUCAUAUAUGUUUGGAUUUAUAUUUGGGUCUUUGAUUCAAUUCCAUUGACCAAUCUGUCCAUUUUAUUCCAAUACCAUUUGGUUUUUAUUGUUAUAUUUUCAUAGUACGAUGUGAAAUCAGGGUUGAUGAUGCUAACAGCAGUUCUUUCAUUGAUUACAAUUGUUUUAUCUAUCCUGGUUUUUUUUUUUUCUCAUUUGAAGUUGGGAAUUGUUCUUUCAAGGUCUGUAAAGAAUUGUGUUCAAGUCUUGAUGGAGACCAUAUUGAAUUGGUAGAUUCCUUUUGGUAGGAUGGUCAUUUUUUUCUUUGCUAUAAGAAGAUAGCUUCUUCAAUUUCUUUAAAGGCGUGAAGUUUUUAUCAUGCAGAUCUUUCACUUGCUUGGUUAGAGUUACCCCAAGAUAUUUUAUAUUAUUUGAGGCUAUUGUGAAAGGUAUUAUUCCCUGAAUUAUUUUUCAGUCCAUUUGUCAUUUGUAUAUAGGAAGGCUACUGCUACUGUUUGGUUUGGUUUAUUUGUUUUGUUGUUGUUGUUUUUAGUUAAUCUUGUAUCCAGGUACUUCAUUGAAAGUUUUUAUUGGCAGUAGCAAUUCCCUGGUAUAAUUUUUAAGGUCACUUAUAUAUACUAUCAUAUCAUCUUCUAAUACUAAUACUUUGACUUCUUCCUUUCCAGUUUGUAUCCCCUUCAGCUCCUGCAGUUGUCUUAUUGCUCUAGCUAAAACUUCAAGUACUAUAUAGAACAGAUAUGGAGAAAGUAGACAAUUUCUUUAUAGCUUUAUUGAUUACCAGGUGCUAUAGUAGUUGCUAGUUAACAGCACAGACACGGUUCCUGUUCUCUUGUCAUCUAAAUUUAAUGAAAAUCAAAUGUUUAAACAACAACUGUAGAUUAGUCUGGCUAUAGUCUGGAAGCGAUUGAACAGAGGAUAAUUGGGGCAAGGAGACCAGUUAAGAGGGACAAGUAACCCGAGCAAAACAUGAAACUGGUGCAGAUGGGGGCAGAGGCAUAUGGAGGUAAAUCAUGGUGGCACUAACCACAUAAUACAGAGGAGAUGGGGCUGACAGUACGGGGAAACUGGCCGACAUAUAAAGUCAUUAACAGGCGUGAGUUCGGAUGCACACCCUAAGCUUAGAGAACAGGAAAGAUGUUUGGAUAAGACCUGUAUAUUGGAACCUCAUGAGACAGUUCAGGAAUAGAAAUGUGGAGGUUUGUGUUAUCAGCAAUGGUAAUGAGGCCUCGGGAAUAGAUGGAGUCACGCAGGCAUGUGUAAAAUGGAGAGUCAGAACAGCAUGAAAGGGGGCUGUAAGCAAUGUGCAGACAGUGCCAGGACGUUCUGCUGGUGAGGAGCUCAGGCAUGAGUGGGCCUCAGCUUCAGAGGACCCAGGUAAGAAGAGCCUGAAAUGUGCUCAUCCGGUUAGCAGCACCAAAGUCCUCUGUGUCCUCGUGGUGAGUAAACACGUUCUGCUUUGUUGGUUGGUGUGGGCGAUGAGGAAGCAAGCACAGGAGAUAUUUCCACAACUGAAGAGGGAGGAGCACGGAGAGGAGAAGAAAGCUUGGGUCUUCACCAUCGUUCAGUUGUUUGUUUCCAGUGGGAACAACUGGGAGUGUUUAAAAAUGGGGAUAGAGGAGGGGUAGAACCAGAGGAACACAGCCCUAGAAAGAGGGUGUACGGAAGGGAGGGAGGCUCUUCCUCUGUAACAGGAAACAAGCAUGUGCUAUGAUCAGAUGCAAUUGUUGGGACAAGAGAGGAUAUUGUAUGGUCUGUCCCUUUUUUACUGUAAGGUGAUAAGAAUGUUUAUCUUCAUUACAGACAGGGAAGGAUGCAGAGUGUAGAACAAAUGCAGGUUGAGUUCCUUCCCAGGAGAAAUGGAGAAGGAGCUAGAGAAAUUAUCAGGAUGUGCAGGAGGUCUGGGGGAUCCCCGGGAGCAAGGGCAGUUAUGGGAUUCUCUGAAGAAGCCCUGAAUUCAAGGGCAGAGCAGGAAGUCAUCCAGAACUGGGACUUCACGAUUAAGAUGCAGAGGCAAUAGGCAAGGGACACAAGAAUAUAGAAGGGAAAGUUGCUGAAGAGACAAAGUCUGCAACCCAAAUCUAAUAGGUAAGAGAGGAAGCGAGCACACAGAACAUGUGACCAAGAGGUCGAUGAGCUGAAAUGUUAAAUAGAAUUCAGAAGAAAUUUCAAAAGAUCUGAAACCACAGACUGCAGCUGCUGGAGUGCCAAGCCGCAGUGGGAGUCAGAGAAAGGCUAGGUAUUGAAUGAAUCAUCUGCAUGCAUGCAAAGUCACCCAGGAGGGGGUAGGACUUCAGCCAGAUGUUCUGAGUCACCCGGGAGGGUAGGACUUCAGCCAGAUGUUCUAAGUCAAAGGAAGGUGGGCAGAAACACUGCAUGGCAGUGAUGUGCAUUUGGUGUCAAAACAACUGGUGGCAGUCAGUUCUCUCUUCCAUGAUGUGCGUUCAUUGAACCUUUACCCACUGAUCCAUCUCACCGGGCCACAAAUAUAGUGUAUUAUUAGCCUACCUCCUUCCUGCAACCAUAUAUACUUGCGUGGAUGUUCAAGGCACAUUUUGAAAAUUACACCAACCUGAACUGCCAAGCUUAUUAAUUAGCAUGUAGCAACUUUUCCUGUGUAUGUACCACCCAGUCAAAAAUGACGAUCAUCCAUCAUGGUCAAGUAGGCUUCAUCCCAGGGAUGAAGGGAUGGUUCAAUAUUUGAAAAUUCAUCAACAUAACCCACUAUAUAAACAAACUCAAAGGGAAAAAACACAUGAUCAUCUCAUUAGAUACUGAGAAAGAAUUUGUCAAAAUCCAGCACCCUUUCAUGAUAAAAGUCUUGGAAAGAUCAGGAAUGCAAGGCUCAUACCUAAACAUAGUAAAAGCAAUAUACAGCAAACCAGUAGCCAACAUCAAAGUAAAUGGAGAGAAACUUGAAGCAAUCCCACUAAAAUCAGGGACUAGAAAAGGCUGCCCAUUUGCUCCCUGCCUAUUCAAUAUAGUACUUGAAGUCCUAGCCAAAGCAAUCAGACAAUGAAAGGAGACCAAAGAGAUACAAAUCGGAAAGGAAGGAGUCAAGAUAUCACUAUUUCCAGAUGACAUGAUAGUGUACUUAACUGACCCCAAAAGUUCCACCAGAGGUCACCUAAACCUGAUAAACCAUUUCAGCAAAACAGCUGGAUAUAAAAUUAACUCAAACAAAUCAGCAGCCUUCCUCUACUCAAAGGAUAAACAGGCUGAGAAAGAAAUUAGGGAAAUAACAACCUUCUCCACAGUCACAAAUAACAUAAAAUAUCUUGGUGUGACUCUAACCAAGCAGAUGAAAGAUCUGUAUGAGAAGAACGUCAAGUCUCUGAAGAAAGAAAUUGAAGAAGAUCUCAGAAGAUGGAAAGAUCUCCCAUGCUCAUGGAUUGGCAGGAUUAAUAUAGUAAAAAAUGGCCAUCUUGCCAAAAGCGAUCUACAGAUUCAAUGCAAUCCCCACCAAAAUUCCAACUCAAUUCUUCAUAGAGCUGGAAAGAGCAAUUUACAAAUUCAUUUGGAAUAACAAAAAACCCAGGAUAGCAAAAACUAUCCUCAACAAUAAAAGAACUUCUGGGGGAAUCAUCAUCCCUGACCUCAAGCUGAAUUACAGAGGAAUCGUGAUUUAAAAAAAAAAAAACUAUAUGGUAUUGAUACAGAAACAGGCAAGUAGAUCAAUUGAAUAGAAUUGAAGACCCACACACCUAUGGUCACUUGAUCUUUGACAAAGGAGCUAAAACCAUCCAGGGGGAAAAAAAGACAGCAUUUUCAACAAAUGGUGCUGGUUCAACUGGAGGUCAGCAUGUAGAAGAAUGCAAAUCGAUCCAUUCUUAUUGGCUUAUACAAAGCUCAAGUUCAAGUGGAUCAAAGACCUCCACAUAAAACCAGAUACACUGAAAGUAAUAGAAGAAAAAGUGGGGAAGAGCCUCGAACACAUGGGCACUGGGGAAGAUUUCCUGAACAACACACCAGUGGCUCUUAAGAAAGAACCCAGAUGCCCUUCAAUGGAGGAAUAGCUACAGAAAAUGUGGUACAUUUACACAAUGGAGUACUACUCGGCUAUUAAGAUCAAGAAUCGACAAAUGGGGCCUCAUAAAACUGCAAAGCUUCUGUAAGGCAAAGGACACUGUUGUUAGGACAAAACGGCAACCAACAGAUUGAGAAAAGAUCUUUACCAAUUCUACAUCGGAUAGAGGGCUAAUAUCCGAAAUAUACAAAGAACUCAAGAAGUUAGGCCCCAGAGAGCCAAAUAACCUAUUAAAAAAUGGCGUACAGAGCUAAAUAGAGAAUUCUCAGCUGAGGAAUAUCGAAUGGCUGGGAAAUACCUAAAGAAAUGUUCAGCAUCCUUAGCCAUCAGAGAAAUGCAAAUUGAAACAACCCUGAGAUUCCACCUUAUACCAGUCAGAGUGGCUAAGACCAAAAUCUCCAGUGACAGCAAAUGCUGGCGAGCAUGUGGAGAAAGAGGAUCACUCCUACAAUGCUGGUGGGAUUGUAAACUGGUACAACCACUCUGGAAAUCAAUUUGGAGGCUCCAAAAUUGGAAAAUAGACCUUCCUAAACAUCCAGAAAUACCACUCUUAGAAAUAUACCCCAAAGAUGCCCCACCAUGGCACAGGGGCACAUGUUCCACUAUGUUCAUAACAGCCUUAUUUGUGAUAGCCAGAAGCUAGAAAGAACCCAGAUGUCCUUCAAUGGAGGAAUAGCUACAGAAAAUGUGGUACGUUUACACAAUGGAGUACUACUCAGCUAUUAAAAAUAAUGACUUGAUGAAACUCGUAGGCAAAUGGAUGGAACUAGAAAAUAUCAUCCUGAGUGAGGUAACCAAUCACAGAAAAACACACAUGGUAUGUACUCACUGAUAAGUGGAUAUUAGCCGAAAAGCUCGGAAUACCCAAGAUACAAUUUAUAGACCACAUGAAGCUCAAGAAGAAAGAAAGAUCAAAGUGUAGAUACUUCAGUCCCUAUUAGAAAGGGGAACAAAAUGCUCACAGGAGGAAAUACAGAGACAAAGUGUGGAGCAGAGACUAAAGGAAAGGCCAUCUAGAGACUGUCUCACAUGGGGUUCCGUUCCACAUGCAGUCACCAAACCCAGUCACUAUUGGGGAUGCCAAGAGGUGCAUGCUGACAGGAGCCUGAUAUAGCUGUCUCCUGCAAAGCUCUGCCAGGGCCUGACAAAUACAGAUGUGGAUACUCACAGCCAACCAUUGGACUGAGCAUGGGGUCCUCAAUGGAGGAGUUAGAUAAAGGACUGAAGAGCUGAAAGGGUUUGCAACCCUAUAGGAAGAAUAACAGUAUCAACCAACCAGACACCCCAAAGCUCCCAGGGACUAAACCACCAACCAGAGAGUACACAUGGAGACACCCUUGGCUUCAGUCACAUAUGUAGCAAAUGAUGGCCUUGUUGGGCAUCAGUGGAAGGAGAGGCCCUUGGUCCUGUAAAGGCUAGAUGUCCCAGUGUAGGGGAAUGCCACUGUGGGGAUACAGGAAGGGAGUGAGUGGGUGGGGCAGCACCCUAAUAGACUCAGGGGGAGGGGAAUGGCAUAGGGGUUUCUGGAGGGGAAACUGGAAAAGGAAAUAACAUUGUGUUAAAAAAAAAGGAAAUAUCCAAUGAAAAAUAAAAAGACUAAAUAGCACUGUUUACAACACUGAAAUGAUUUCAAUGUUUAGCAUCAGUGGAAUGGCUGGAUACAUUUCACAGUGUAUGCACACUAGAGGUCUAUUAAGUAAGUUAUCUCUGCAGUUAUAGACAGGAAAGUAUAUCAGUGGUGCAUUAAUAAAAAGAUAUUUCUGAUUAGUAUGAGUUAUUUAAUGUCAUUUUUAUGAUUAAAAAAGAAAUAGCCAAAAAAAUGAGAACAUUUUUAAAUACCCACUACCAUGGUGUUUUCUUCCUUCCUCCCUCCCUCCCUCCCUCCCUCUCCCUUCCUCCUUCCCUCCCUCUUUUCUUUUCUUUCUUUCUUUCUUUCUUUCUUUCUUUCUUUCUUUCUUUCUUUCUUUCUUUCUUUCUUCCUCAUCUUAAGUGUAUGGGCCUCUUUCUUCUGGGUUUUAGCCAAAAUCACUCAAUGCUCACAUACCUGAAGCAUAGAGUAUACAUAAACAUGAUCACUUUCACUGGGUGAAACCGGUAUUCUCUAUCCUGUACACUCCUUUCAGCAGUGUCAGAGUUGGGGUCACUCCAUAAUCCAACCAUGUUUUAAGGUGUCACUCUUUUUAAGGAUAGGAUUCAAGUGGCUAGUAUGACCAAGGGACUGGAGUCUGUGUAACAUGCUAUACACUUUAUACAUAUUACACAGUGGUUGGAAGCUCCACUGUGUCUCACCACACCAAUUACUUCCAUGAACUGCUUGGUGUGAAGUAUUGUCCAUGUAGCACUUUUUCCUGUAGAUACCAGUCAGCACAACACUAUUCAUUUAAAACAAAACUAAACCUUGACCUUUCAACUCUGCCCUUUCACCUUCGUGAUGUGUACACUUGGAUCUGUUCCCUCAGUUGUCUGCCACUACCAUACCAUCUUUAAUCCAGAGAAUUGAUAGUAAGGAGAAAUAUUUCAUUUCAUUUUUAACCUAUUCCUGAUUUGAUUUUCAUUUAAAUUUUAUAAGAAGCCUAAUAAUUUCCACAGUCAUGCUGAUGCUCUGACAUUAAAUUAGAUCUGGAGAUUUAAGCAAAAUUCACAAUUUUACAUUAUUGAUUCUUCCAAUUAUCGAUAUGUUGUAUCCCCCCGGUAACAUUUAAAAUUAUUUUUCUUAAAUUAUUUUACACAAUAUGUAGACAUUGUUUUACAUAAUUCUGUAUCUUUGGCAUAUAUUUCAUUGCACUUUCUUAGCUUCUUGUUUUAUUUAGAGCCACCGACACAUUUCUGAAUCUAGGUGAUAACUUGGGCAUUCUUGCCUCUUUCUCAAUUUCAGAGGGAAAACUGUAAAUAUUUUAAGUGCAUAGCUCACAUUAAAUCUUUUAUUCUUUUUAUGCAAAUUUUCAUACAAGAAGAUGCCAUUCAAUGGGCAUACUGUCCCAUACCAUCCUCCUCUUACCCUCCCCCUCCGCCCUCCCUCUCCUCCCCCUUGUCUUUCCCUCUCCCCCAUCUUCUUCCCUCCCUUCCCUUCCUCUCUCCUCCCCUGUUCUAUUGGUCUCUUUUUCCCCUUACUCAGUCUCACCUCUACUUGCAUGUCUUGUAUACAUACAUGAUUUUAUGUAUCUAUAUAAAGUUCUAUAAAUCACAAAUGAAAAAAUAUUAUGCGAUAGUUGUCUUUCCUAAACUGGGUUAAUUCACUUAACACGACCAUCUCCAAUUGCAGUUGUUUUCCUGCAGAUAACAUGACUUUGUUUCAGUCAAAAAUUGUCUGUCAUUGCAUACAUCUUAUUUAUGCAUCUCUCUAUUAUUGCCACCUCUUGCGCUUAUUUAAUAAUAUAGUAUAUAUUUACUAUAUAUUCUUGCUGUAAUAAACAGUGCUACAAUGAGCAUUGAUAUUCAAGUAUCUCUGUGAUACCGUGACUUGGAGUCUCUUGGUAAAUAUCCUAUGGAGGUACAGGCAGCCAAAUGUAGAUCUUUUUGCCCUUUUGAGAAACCUCCAUCCUGACUCCCCUGUGGCUGAGCUAAUUUCUUCGCACCAGCGUUGUAUAAACUUCUGUUUUGCCCAAAUCCUCACCAGUGAUCGUUGAUGCUGUUUUCCUGAUGACUGACGUCCCCUUAGAGGUAAGAUGGAAUCUCCGUGUAGUUUGAUUUGCAUUUCUCUGAUGGCUCAUAGGGUUGUCAUCAUUAGGGUUUUUAGCAAUGUGAUAAAACCAUGACCAAAAGCAACUUGGAGAGGAGAGAAUUUAUUUCAGCUUACAGUUCCCCUUCACAGCCAAUCACUAAUGGAAGUCAGAGUAGGAAUUCGAAUGAGGAACCUGGGCAGGAGCUGAUGCAGAUGCCAUUUGGGUGUGCUGCUUACUGUCUUGCUCCUUGUGGCUUGCUUGGCCUCUUUACUUGUAGCUGCCAGGACAACUAGCUGAGGGAGGAUCCUAUCUGCAGCGGGCUGUAACCUCCCUGAUUAAUCAUCCAUCAAGAAAACGCACCACAGGCUUGCCCCUAGGCCUGAUCGGGUCAGUUUUCAAUAGAGGUUCCUCUUCCAAAGUGGCUCUAACUGUGUAAAGUUGACACAGCCAGCACAGAGGCUGAACUUUGUUUUUUCAUAUGUUUAUUGGCCAUUUUCAUUUCAUGUUUUGAGGGAUGUCCAUUUCCUGGGCCGUUUAUCAAUUGGGUUGUUUGGUUUCUCACUUAGAGUUUUGAGUAGAUAUGAGUAGCUAGCAAAGAUUUUGCCCAUUCUGCAGGCUGUUUCUUCACCCGAUUAACAAUCUCCGUGUGCCGUGUGGAAGCUUUUUGGUUUCAUGAACCGCAUUUGUAGAUCCUUGGCACUCUUUCUGAGGCAGCUGGAGUGAUAUGAGGAAGUGUUAGCCCGUGCCUAAUCUCCAUGCGUUUCCCCUACUUUUCCUUCAACAGUUUCAGGAUUUCACGUCUGACAUUCAGAUCUCUGAUUCAUUUGGAGUUGAAUUUUGUGCAAGGUGAGAGGAUCCAGUUCACCCCUCCCGUGUAGAUAGAUACCCAGGUUGUCUAGAACCAUCUGUUGGGCAGGCUGCCUUUUCUCCACUGUGUACUUCCGGCCGUACCCUUUCCCGAUUCUUGGUGUUUUAACUUAUUUUUCCGUCAGAUGUCUUAUAGUCAUUUUAAGACAAGCAAAUAAUUUUUGUUGUAUUUUUAAGGUGGUAAAUUGCAUUGAUGUUUCAUGCAUUAAAUCGGUUUUUCUCAGGGAAGAAAAUCCAAACAUGCAGAGUAGCCGAGAAACACAAGCUUUCCAGAGGAGCGCACGCCUGGCUGCCUCAGUGUAUUGCUAGGUUUCAUUGGCUAAUAUUUUGGUUGGGACGUUUUCUUCCAUAUUCAUAAAGAAAUUGGCCUGUAAUCUCCCUUUCUUAUAAUAGCUUUGUCACUUAGAUAUCGAGCAUAUGUUACCUUCAUAAGAUGACUUGGGAAGGGAGCUUCUUUUCCUUUUCUGGAGGAGUUUUAUGUUUUCCUGGUGUUAUUCCUUCUUUAACUGUUUGGGGGAAUUAAUCAGUGAAGCCAUCUGGUUUGGAGUUUUCUUCAUGGGAAGAGAUUUAAUAAAAAAAAUGAUUUCUUUGAUAGAAGUGAUACUAUCCAGCAUUCUCAAUAUAAUGUGGGCUUCUUCCCCCUGCGGCCUAGAGUGAUGGUUGCUGCUUUAAAGAUUCCAUUCUGGUGGGUUUCCACUUUCAUGAUCCCAUCGUACAAAUGUCCAUGUCCUCCAAAAUUCAUAUAUUGGACCAUGAAUUCCCCAGUGUGAUGGGACUUAAAAGCAGAACUGUUUAUUUAGUGAUUUGAUGACUUAGUCAUGAAGAAACAUGCUUAUGCUGGGAUUGCUACCUUACAAGAAGGCUCCCAGAAGCCCCUUUCUCUUGUCUGAAGUGAGGACACAGUAAGAAGCUGCUUAACGUAAGCCAGGAAGAGGGCCUUCACCAGACACAACAUUCUCUGGAGCUGUUCCUAGACUUCUCGCUCUUCUAAACUGUGAGAAACAGAUAUCUAUUGUUUUUUAGUCACUUCAGUCUGUGGAAUUUUCAUGAGAGUAGCCUAAUUGGAGUACAAUAGAUGAUGUGCCCUAAUAUAUACCUACAUCUAUUCUAUGUAUCUCUCUCCUCUUUGAGACACAUGGUUUCCUUCAAAUCCAUUCCUUGAUUAUUUCCCUCUCUCUUUUAAAAUUCUUGGUUAUUUUCUCUUCACACAACUUCUACUAUGUCACUCUCCAAGACUCCACUUCUAGAUGCCUUCACCUUUCUGCCACAUGUUGUCUGUCUGUAAAUGUUCUUCCCACUUUCCCUCCCUCAAUUCUGUUCUUAUUACUCAUGGUCUAUUAUUCUUUAUUAUUUUUGCAUAUAUGCAAGUAAAUGAAUGCAAAGUGCUAAAUGGGUUUAGUGUCUCUUGGACUCCCUUGACCAACAACUUGAAAGUUUUCUCAUUCCUGAUACUGGGAUUUUGUUAAAUUGACUAUUACUCUUGGGAGAAGCUUUGUCACCCCUACUGGUAUAUCAUCAUUUAAACUGUAUACAUUCAUAUACAGAUAUACUUACACAUAUUUUAGGUAAAUAUAAAAUGAUGUGAUUCCUUACAGCUUUCCCAUGCAUCCUUAGUGUUACUUAUCUCCCCCUCCUGAAUCUCUUGUAGUGCCCAACCCCUCCUCCUUGAGCCCCUUCCACUUUUCCAUCUCUCCCUUCAUGUAACCUUUGUCUCACCCAUAUAACCCUCCAAAAGUCAUCCUCCUAGCCUCCCCCACCGCCAUGGGUGUGUGCGUGUGUCCCACUGAAUUUAUCCAGUGGAUCAUGGGCAUGGAACUGUCAGUAGGCCUGGUAGACCACUCGGUGGCUUGUACAAGUGAGGAUGGUUACACACAUACACACAUACACACAUCAUACACACAUACACACAUACACACAUACACACACAUCAUACACACAUACACACAUCAUACACACAUACACACAUCAUACACACAUACACACAUACACACAUACACACACAUCAUACACACAUACACACAUCAUACACACAUACACACAUACACACAUCAUACACACAUACACACAUCAUACACACAUACACACAUACACACAUCAUACACACAUACACACAUACACACAUCAUACACACAUACACACAUACACACACAUCAUACACACAUACACACAUCAUACACACAUACACACAUCAUACACACAUCAUACACACAUACACACAUCAUACACAUCAUACACACAUACACACAUCAUACACACAUACACACAUACACACAUCAUAUACACAUACACACAUACACACACAUCAUACACACAUACACACAUCAUACACACAUACACACAUCAUACACACAUCAUACACACAUACACACAUCAUACACACAUACACACAUACACACACAUCAUACACACAUACACACAUCAUACACACAUACACACAUCAUACACACAUACACACACAUCAUACACACAUACACACAUACACACAUACACACAUACACACAUCAUACACACAUACACACAUACACACAUACACACACAUCAUACACACAUACACACAUACACACACAUCAUACACACAUACAAACAUCAUACACACAUACACACAUCAUACACACAUACACACACAUCAUACACACAUACACACAUACACACAUACACACAUACACACAUACACACAUGGCCCAUCAUGAGCCAGAGUUUGGCAGAGACAGGGAGAGCCCUUCCCUGAGCAGUGAUUGAUUAUUGGUAGUUCUCGCAGUGGCCCAGGCUGGAUGCAAGCUCACUGCUACGGCUUUGGCCUUCUGAACACUGGGAUGAUGGGUGUAUACCACCAUUCUCUAGUUAACUAGAAAUAUCUUGGCCAGGUAUGGUGGCUCACACAUGUAAUCCCAGGACGUUGGAGGCUAAGCCAGGAGAAUCCCUUUGAGUCCCAUGCCAUUAAAUUGCACAAUAAGUUCUAGGUCAGCUUAGCCUACAGAUUCAGACUCUGUCUCAAAAAAGAAAAAAACUCACAUAUAUAAAAUAAAUAAAUCUUUUUUUUAAAAAAAGAGUGCACCACUAUGCACAACUUAUAUUAACAUUUAAAAAAAUCCAGUUACUCUACCAAAACUCUCAAUCCUUCUUGAGCAUAAUGUUAGAAAUUGAACUAAAUGUCUGGUAUUUUCAUGUCUGACAAUAAUAUCUGUAUUAUCUCUGGUAUUUAUCUUGUCUUUUACUUCUUAUAGUUACUUUUUAUUUAGUACCAGAUAUCAAGAAUAAUUUCACAUGGAUAAUAGAAGUCUUUUUUUAAAUGCUAUUUCUAUCCAGAGAAGAUUUUUUUCUUCUUCGGGUAUGCAGCUCAUUUAAGGGCACUAGCAGUUCUAAUCACAAAAAUCCCAACCAAGGCAAUGUUUUGAAGCUGGGUUUUGUUUCCUGUAAGAAUUGGUCUGUUUCCGGUACCCUAACUUCUAGAGGAUGCUCAAGAAAGAUUGAGAGUUUUGGUAGAGUGGAUUUUUUUUAAUGUCAAUAUAAGUUGUACAUAGUGAUGCACUCUUUUUUUUUUUUUGUAAAAAGGAUUUAUUUAUGUUAUAGAUGUGAGUUUUUUUUUCAGACCACACCCCAAAUCCCUUUAUGCUUCCAGGGCUCCUUUCCCCUGGUGCACCCUGGGCUUGCAGAACCAGCAGUCACCCAGAUGUCAAGUCCUGUCUCUGGGCUUCCUUCUCCUUCUGACUCUUUGACUUACAUACAACUCAUCAUCUUCUAACUCCAGUGCCUUCCAAAGAUAUUGGAUCUGCUUCCCUCUUUCUUAGAAGAAACAUGGCUAGAUAUGAAACCCUAUUGAGCUGGGCCAUUUGAAGGAGAGUGCAGGAGAGAGCUGGGGAACAGCAUCUACCCUGUAUCCACAUAGUUUCUACAUGCCUGAGCAGUCUGCCUUUAGUCAGGACAAGGGGAAAGAAUAUGCUGAGGAGAGUCUGAGGAAGCCAGAAUGUUCCGAGUCAAGAAGGAUUAAUCAAUUCUUUUUCUUUCUUUCUUUCUUUGCUUUGGAUAGGCUAAGUCAAACUAGGUGACAUCUAAGCCCUAUAUAAUUUGAAAUUCUAGGAUUCUAUUAAAUGAAGAUGAGCUUCAUUUAGGUUAAUUUAGAAGUUUAAUUAGAACUUAAAGUUUCUCCUGUAGCGAUAAGGAGGCUUAUCACCAUAAAGAAAACUCCUAGGUUUUAAUUUCAGCACAAUAGCUCCCACUUGUAAAACACUGAACCAACUUCCAUCCAUAGUGUGCAAUGGAACUGAAACUGAAUUGUCCAGAACGAUCUACUUGCAAUGUUAUCUGCUAAGAAUGUGCUUUUCUCUGAAUCUCUACACAGUCAUACGGUGAAGUGGCUUCAUCCCUCCCCUAUCCUGUAUUGUGAUUUUUAUUCUUUCUUCCAUAUGCUUCAAAGGUUCUGGAUCAUUUCCUGUUCAUGGUAUUAGUAACUUCGCUUGCCCAGUCUUAUGUUCCUGUAUUCUUACACAUUGUUUUCCUGUCUUCUCUUUCUCUUAACCCCAUUUCCCACUUCUCUCCUCCGAGCUAUAAUUUCCACCGUGCUCUGUAGACCUUGUUCUCUACAGCAUAACAAGAGGAGGUGUUGCCCCUAGGUUCUCUUCUGCAUUCUCCUUUAUUGAAUAUCUGUUUGGCCAUUGGCUUCCGUUGAGCUCUAAUUGUCUUGAGGGGAUCCUGCUUCUCCUGUAGCUUUCACUUUCCUCCUCAUCUCAAACUGUCAUGUCAAGCUCAUGACUCCUUUACCAUUUAAAACUCACCAGCUCCUUGCAGCCCUGGAUAGUCUACCCCUGAUUGUCUUACCCAAGUACUCCAGGACUCAGAUACUGUCUGUUCUCAUGCCAGCAUAGAAACUACAGUAUUGAGGCUUUCUUCAAUUCGAUGACCACAAAGCCCAAAGAUCCACCCAGCUACCUACACAUAGUGUUCCACUCCGCUAUUGAAUUCACUUUGCUGACUCCAUAGGAGAUAUUUGGCGUCUUCUUUCAUGACCCAGGCCCUCUCUCCUCCUUCAUAUGUCAGAGUAAGAGCAAAUGUAAUAUGAAGAGAGUCACAUCAUCUCUUGCAGCACCAAUUCUGGGAUUGACAUUCUCUGUCAGUGCUCCUAUUGCAGGAGAAGAGGACCUACCACUUCCCUGUACUGCCAACCUGUUCUUUUUCUCUGAAUUCUAAACGUUAUUUGGAUGUGAGUCUUUAUUGUGACAGCAUGUCUCUCUGACAUAGGAUCUUUCAUUAUUUAUCUCCUGUGUUGAGAAACUUCCCUUUUAAAGGUUAUGAACACACACAGUUCACAGAGAUAAGUAUCCUAAAUAUUUGAAAAGACACGCAAGCCAAUCUAUAAAACUGUACAAAAUAAAACUGCAGUGAAAUGCCAUUUUUAUCUUACUGGCAAAAACACAAAAGUCUGAAAGACGUUGUGCAUGAGAAAGGAGCACCCUGUUUAAUCAAGACUGCCUCCCUCCAGUGCUGGAGGAUUGAACCUUGGGCAUGCUAGGCUCUACCCUGAAUAGCCUUCAUCCUGGAAGGGUCAGUUUCAUAUUUCACUGCUUGGGGGGGAGGUUGCAACUUUACAUCAGUUGGGUACUAUGUAACAGCAUUGUGAAGCACAUAUAGCCUUGGGCCUCAGUCCCCUGUCUCAAGUUCACCCUAUAUCAGACUGUGCAUCUUAGAGUGACCUCCAGACUUGGCUCUGUACUCUUUCUGGAUAGUUCUGUCCUGUCCCAAACCUUUAAAUACCCUUUUGUAAACUACUGACCCUGACUUUAGGCCUGGGGCUCAGAAACUCCUCUGGCUACCGACCUGUGGCUGUGGAUACUGACUCUCCUCUCAGGGUGCCCGGAUGCUGCCAAUACACCGGCUAGGAGAGGACUGAGAGAAGUCUGGAAGGGGCGGGGUCUGCAGUCAUCCUGGGCAUCAGAUGCCUAUGUAUGCCAGGCCAAGGAAGGUGGGCGGAGUCUGGGACAAACAGGAUCCAGAUCUAGUUGGCUUUCUUGGUCUUAGCUUGUCGUUAACUUCUUUAUUGGGGGUGAGUUUGAACUGAACACAUACUUCAUUGGGGGUGAACCAAGGGUUAUAUUGUUUUGGGGGUGAGAGUAUCCAGAGUGGCAAAAUGUCAUUGGCUGAAAGCUAAGAUACUGAGAUGCCUCAUUUGCAUGGAGAGGCGUUCCAGGCGCUUUGCUUCCUGACUACUGGUGACCACCUGCUUGCAGGGUCUCCAAGGCAGGCACACAAACAGGGCGGGAGUUAACCCUACUCCUGCUGGUCUCAGGAUAAGGUUUUAAUCUCAGGUUUGAGAUUUCUAUGGUUUGGACAUGCUCAACCUCAAACAUCCCGUGCAGUUCCUCAGCUGUCCGGAUCCACAUGCCCCACACGGACCAGCCUAUUUACACAGGCUAUGUGUUGGGCUGAUGGUACUUCAAACUUAUGGUGGCCCAAAUAAAAUGGAUUUUCCAUCUCCCCAUCUACCCCCACAAAUGUCUAUGUUCUCCACGAGCUCCUCCUCCCCCAGCCUUUGAUUUUUACUUAACUGUGAACAACUUUGUAUAUUCCUUGCAUUCUCUUUGUCUUUUGGCUAAGAGCCAGUGUUUUUAGCCUUUGACUUUAUACACUUUCAGCAUUACUUCUCAAGGAUGUUGGCUUUGCCGGCAUUCCCUAGUUUCUACUCCACCCUUCACUCUCGCACUGGCCCCAACAGUAGGGUUGCUUCUCACCAUGGUCCCUGCACUGUCUCUCCCUUCCUUUGCGGCUCCUAGCUCUUUCCCCAGUUCCUGCAAGGUGACGUUCUGUCUGUGACCUCCAUCUUGUAUUUGUGCUUUGAACAAAAUGCUAAUUAAGUGCUUAAGUGACAAUGUAGGGUGUGUAUAACUGGGAUUGUGAGGCAUAGCUGCAAAGAAAGUGGAAUGCCAUAGCUCAUGUCUGCCAGUUAGCCUUGAGGAACAUUUAUGGCAAAAUAUAGUGUAGCCAACCAGGAGGCACAGCAAGAAUGAGAUGGUCUUAAAAGGCACCAUCUACCUGCUGUGGUAAACCCCAAGUGUCUUCCUGUCUGUGUUGGAGACCAGUCACUUCAUUGGGUGCUAGAAUGCUGGCUCUCUGGGUUGGGCCUAUGUCUUUGAUGUAUUUCAUUAACUGCAAAUUUUAACCCUGGGAUGAAAGUCCAGAAUCUGCUGCUCUCCAUAGCCACAGUGCUUCACAAGAUCUGCUAUCUCGUGGUGUCUCACUGUAGUUUUGUCCUGGUCUCUGAUCGUAACUCCUCUGCUAUUGACACUUUAUUUUGGCCUUAUCCAAGCCAGAGUUGCCCCUUCUUUCUUUUGAGCUUCAGAGAACAUCAUUUAAGUUGGUUUUGAACAAAUCCGAUCGUGUUUCUUUAGUGUCAAGUUCUCCAGUCGGUUACGCUAUUCUUCCUCAGUGUAGCCAGGGUAACUGCCUGAGCUUUUCAUUAGACUAAGAUAGCAGUAGUAAGGCUUCUACUCAUACCCAUGGGCUUGCUCGCCAUGGUCCUUUAACAUUACAUCAUCUGUGUGUAUGGAGACACACUAUAAUCCACAAAUACUUAAAUAUGAGUGAAGAGCUGCUUCCAGAAAUGUCAUUCAUCCUCAGUGAUACAAAAUUGUCCCUAAAAAUCUCACUCGUCAUGUGAAUUCGGAACGUUUAUUAUCGGUAAAAGUAGAACUAGAAAGUGUGGUGUUCUCAGGAGGCACAUGUGUGGGGUUAUAAAUUGAAUAGGAAUAAUCUAGCGGAAGCAGGUGAGGACUAGUAAUUCGCAAAAGAUUGCCGUCGCAUUGUUGUUGCAACAAUUGCUACACGUUUCUAAUUACAAUUACCGUCAUGAUUAGGCAAAUGGGAUGAGAUUUUUAAUACGAAAAUUACUGAAGACUCAUUCUUCCCUUCCGUGUAAGAGGAUUUGAGUAUUAGAGCAUCACUGACUCCACCUGCCAGGGAUCUUCUUGUGCCUGAGAAGACUCUCCCUACGUGUAGCAUUCAUUGAUAGGUCAGACAGCCCAUAGUUUACCCGAAGCCUUCCACAAGAAAGCAGAUCUCGGGGCUGGGGAUUUAGCUCAGUGGUAGAGCGCUUACCUAGAGAGCACAAGGCCCUGGGUUCGGUCCCCAGCUCUGAAAAAAAAGAACCAAAAAAAACAAAAAACAAAAAACAAAAAGAAAGCAGAUCUCUCAAGUGGGAGGGCUUUCUUAUCACAUGGCAGCCAGUGGUUGCUCUUACGGGGAAGCACAGGAGAGCUGGCAGCUAGAGGAGAGCUCACAGAAGGGUCUUCUGGGCCUAGAUGAUGGGGACAACGUGUGUUCAUCUACACUCCAUUCUCAGUACCGCUCUGUGAUGGUUUGUAUGUGGUUGGCCGGGGAGUGGCACUGUUAGGAGGUGAGGCCUUGUUGGAGUAGGUGUGUCACUGUAGGCGUGGGCUUUAAGACCCUCAACUUAGCUACCUGGGAGCCAGUCUUCCAGAAGUCUUCAGAUGAAGAUGUAGAACUCCCAGCUCCUCCUGCACCAUGCCUGCCUGGACACUGCCAUGCUCCCACCUUGAUGAUAGUGGAAUGAACCUCUGACCUGUAUGCCAGCCCCAAUUAAAUGUCAUCCUUAUAAAAGUUGCCUUGGUUAUGGUAUCUGUUCACAGCAGUAAAACCCUAACUAAGACACUCCCCAAGUUCAUGACAUACCAGAGACUAUUCUUAAAUAGUUACUAAAUAACAAAUGAUGACAUGUAAUUUAUAAUUAUUUUUUAAAUUCCCACAUGCCAGGAAAUCAGGCAUAACCUAGCUAUGUCUUCUAUUUAGGGCUUUUCACUGAACUUAAUGUCUUCUUAAGAAUUGUCUGGGAGGGCUGGAGAGAUGGCUCAGCCGUUAAAGGCGAGGCACAUAACCAAAGCUCUAAGAAUUGUCUGGGAAGAGCCACUUUGUAGCUCAUUCGUGUAGUUGUUUGGUUGUUGGUAGAACUCAGUUUCUCCCUGUCAGAAUGGAGCCUCUCUUUGUUCUUUGCCAUGCGGCUUAUCCAUGUGACAUCUCGGAACAUGGCCACUUGCUGUGUCAGAGCCAGAGGUGAGAAAGCAGGGGAGAAUGCCAGCAAAAAGCAAGUGUGCCCGUAAACAGACUCGGUAAGGGCCUGUGCCUAGUCAUGGACAUGGCACCCCUUCUUGUGGCGAUGUUCAUUUCUGAAGAAAAAGUCACUAAGUCUGACUGACCUACAUACAAGAAGCCUGGAUUACACAGAGAAGUAAAUUAUUGGGUCAGUUUGGAAAGUUGCCUACCAGAUCUUGAUGGCUGUGUUAAGUUAUUUAAGGCCAGACAUAGGAGCACUUGCCAGCAAUUUUAGUACUCAGGAGGCAGAAGUAAAGAAAUUGUAAGUUCAAGGACAGCCUGGGCUAUAUAGCAAGAACAUCUCAAAGGAAAAUAAAAUCACUUGCAUUAAACAUCAUGUUUGAUAAGAAAUAACAGGUUAGGGUUAGAGAGAUGGCUCAGUGGUUAGGAACAUUUGCUGUUCUUGUAGAGGACCUGAGUUCAGUUCCCAGCUCCUACAUCAGAGAGCUCACAGUGUGCUUAUAGCUCCAGCUCCAUAGGAUCCAGUGCCUCUUCUUACCUCCUCUAGGACACACAUACACACUCACACACACACAUACUCACACACACACACACAUACACACACACAUACAUACCACACACACACACGAAUACACACACACACACACACACACGAAUACACACACACACACACACACACACACAAGGGGGAGGGAGGAUGCGGGGAAUGAAUUUUAUAAAAAGAGAGAAAAAAAACCAAUUCAUUUUGUCUUGAAACAAAAACAAAUGCUAACACAUAAUUUAGCACCUUCAUCAGUCAUAUUUUUAAAAAAUAUAUUUCCAGAUAGUUACAGUGUAGUAAUUAAUAACCUUCUGAGAACUCAAAGACCCGAAUACAAGGGAGUGUAUUGCAGCAGGCUUAAUCAAUGUUUAGUGUUGAUAGAAUGUAAAAUCGAAGCACCAGGGAUAGAAAUAAAAUUGCCUUUCUGCAGAAAGAUCCUCAACAAUUGAAAAACAGCUCUAUAAAACUGGAGAACAGCUUGAUGAUUUAGAAAAUAGAAACCGCAAAAAUAUUCUGUAGAUCCUAGAGAUGUCUCCAGUGUUCAUUACCUUGUCUGCUUUUGAGAGUCAAAAGGAAGGGUAACAGAAAGGGUUUUUGCUCUGGCCCUGAGCCACUCUGGGUUGAGACUAUUAACUAAGCAUAGUCUGAUCUAAAAAUAAACCUUCUGCACUCUUAUUUUCAAGUAAGUCUCGUUCUUCAUAUCCAAACCAGGAUAUAGACAUGAAAUUACUAGCUUCUAUGUGCGCUUAUCUGAUGAAUUCUUCAAUAAAUGGGUUUGAUGUUAUAUAUGAUAAAAAUGCAUUAGAGCCACAGGAUUAUCAGUGCUUUAAAACAACACAGUCCCGUUACUCACCUGAGCAACCUGAGUUACUUCAGGGAUGCUAAUUGGACGUGGGUGAGACUAGAGAUCAAUGGUAGGCUGGCAACAUCUCUUUGAGAGACCCUGUUAGGUAUUUGCCCUAUGCCCAGGAAAUGUCUCCACCUAGCAGUUGAUUAUUAGCAUAGGCCUUGACACUAAAAGUUGUGGUAUCAUGUGGUUUCACCAGACUCAUCUGAGGCAGGCUGAUAAGAAUGAAGAUGAUGACAGCCUGAAGCCAUCCUUGUGAUGAGACCCACGGUAGAACUGAGAAGGCCACAAGCGUCACAUUUAGGUAGAUGAGGGUCUUUCACUGCCUGUUACUGGCUGUGUGGUGUCAGUGGCACUUAGCUUCCUUGGAAACUUAGUGUCCUCCUAUAUAAUGGGGAAGAGAUAGCAAAGAUGACGAUGGUGGUGAUGGUCACAGACAACUUUUAGGAAACCCUUAUUAAAUAACAAAUGAAUGCUGGGUGAUGUGUGUUUUAAUUCACUUCUGUUCUCAUUACAUCAUACUGCAUUACUGUGUAGUAACCGAUGAGGUAUAAAUAUAUUCCUAGUCAAUGUGUGUGUGUGUGUGUGUGUGUGUGUGUGUGUGUGUGUGUAUGUCAGAGAGUACUUUCAGCUACGUUUAUCCUUUGAGGUAUCUUAUGGAGUAUGUAUCCAUAUCAAUAUAUGAGCACAGAUAUGUAUUCAUGUGCGUGUAUAUAUAGUUGUGCACACAAAGGGCAUAUUAUUUACUGCCAAGCAGUAUGCUUCACAUGCAUUUAUCUCACUUCCUCCUCAAAACAGCCCUGUGAUAAAGAUUACAGUAGACAAUUCUCACAGAGACAGAGAGCGACAGAGACAAGGAUACUUCGUGUGAUAACAUCGGUUUCCAGCUUCACCGCUGCUUACUGGAGAACCAGACACGGAUUCAGCCAAUUCUAACUUAGCCCUUCUAGUGUAGAGGCGAGCGAGUUGUGGGGGUUGAUUCAGCCCCACAGUUGGGUGGGGCUCAGUUCUGCCUCCAAGACCAUGUGGUUCUUCCUCACCCCAGGAUCUGCGGGUGUUGAUUCCAUUCUUAAUGCCUUAUCUCCCAUCUUUACUUACUUGGAGUGAGGAGGCUUGAACUCUUAGAUCUAACUUUCAUUUUUGGGUAUUUCUUGACAGAAAGAGCAAUGGUAAGUGCUCUUAUUAGGUUGGUGCGGUUGUGGGUGUCCCAGUAGCCGAGAGCAAAUGGCGGGAAUAAACCCGGUGUCACUGGAUACAACAACUUCCUUCUAUUCCUUCAGUUUACUUUUCUGGGCUAUUUUUUUUUUACAUCAAUUCAGAAUCUCUGUAGGUUUUUUUUUCUUCAUAUGUAGUUAACAAUCUGAAUGACACAUUCUUUAUAAUACCACAAUAAUUCCGUCUAUUACAUCACUUAAUUUAUAGGAGUCCUAACACUAAAAUCGAUAAACAUUAUUUCUAAAAUGUCAAGAGUGUUAAUGGUGUGAUUAAGAAAGAAAAGAUCCUACAGUUUCCCUGCACAGCACCCGUUGAUAUACUGUUGUCGAGCACACCUAACUGAAGCUGCAAUAUGGGAGAUUUAAAUCAUUAAGACUCUGUCAACUUUAAAAAUGUGUGUCAGAAGCUAUUUUUAGCUUCACGGAUCUUCUGUGCCAUAUUGUGGAAUUCUGUUAGCAGAGAAAGGGAGAGACUACAUGUCUCAGAGAAGAUUGUCUCAGGUUGUUUUGAGACAUAUCAACAGUUGCUAAGGAACCAUCUCUAAUGCUUCUGGGAAAUUCUGUAAUACUUCACUUAGAAAUUGGGGGAGAUUUUUUUUUUAUAGAGCAAAUCUUCGUGGACAAGGAAAGCAUAUAACGGCUGAUAUUAGGGAACUGGAAAAAUUAUUUUAACUUUCCUAGAAGAUUGAGUUUAAAUGGGGCUUCCUAGCACCGUAUAAUCUCCUUACAGAAUCCUGGAAGCCUCCGUUUACAUCUGAUUUUAGAACAAGCAGCAUUUUAAAAUCUGGUCACAUUUCAGUUUAUUUUCCAUGAUUGAUGCUCUAAAAUGGAGAUUAGCACUUCUUUUCACACGGAGAAUUAAUUAGCAUGCUAGCAUGGUGGUUUCACUGAUUUUCUUCCCUUUUGGUGAAAAGCGAUCUCAGUAGUAAACAUUUUGUAGGCGCUGACUGUUUACUAGACCCUGCCAGACACAGUCUUGUCACCUAAUGGCACUGCUGGGUGAAUGGUUCCCUCUUUUCAUGUGGCUCUGCAGAAGGUGAAAGACAUUCAGUAGCCAGCUUUCGGAAGACUCAUGCUGCUACUCAACUCCCUUGCACAAUCCUUGUGAGGAUGUUGGACCAGUGUCUGGUAAUGCCUUCACAUCCAUUAAGCCUCAUCCCCCUGGCUGGACAGGAGGCUGUUCUUUCAUAAGAUCAUUGCUUUGAGACAAAAUAGUGUUAGCUAAAAUGUUUGAUCUACAGAUGUUAUCACUUCUGGAGUUACUUAAACAAUAGAGUAGAAAUCACUGGGUGUUUUCUUUCUUUCUCAUUCACAAACACUAAGUGUGCACCUAGUAUGAGACCGUUGUUAGAGUUAGCACUGAGGCUAGGGUACAGUUAUCACGCAGCCUUGGUCUUCACAGGUCUUUAGUGUAACAGAACCACUGCUCCAUUCACCUGCUCCAUUCACGAGCAGCCGCAAAGGAAGAGGCUGAGGACCAUAACUAUUGCAGAGCCAUCAGGGAUGGUACAGGCUGAAGAAAUACCCCUCCCAUGCACACCUUCUUCCGCUUGAGUUCUCCAGUUCUCUCUUGGUCCCUGUAUACACCAUGCUAUUGUUCCACAAUGUCAUAACUUUGCUUCUAUGGUUAUGGCUCUUUCUCAAGCAUCCUUCCUAGCUACUAGAGUUUACCAGCAUAUAAGUCUCUAAACAGGUACAUUUUUUGGCCUUCAGAUUGGAGAGCAUGUGCCAAAUACAAUGGUAAGUUAGAAGAUGCCUGGAUAUUAGAUCAUUGUAGAAAUAGGAAAACCCAGAUAUUGCCAUUUUUUGUUCACACAAAGGUUUUUCCCACAGCUAAAGAAGCCAAUAAUGUGAGAUCAAACCAUGUAAUGGGACUCGGAUUCUCCAACAAAGUAGUUCAAGGACCUGAUGUUGACAGCAUUGCUUGUGGGCAUGGAAGAUAUGUUUAAAAUAAAUAAAAAAUGAUAAUGGCCGCAAGCAAAUGCUAAAUACCAAAUGAAUGAUUCAACAGCUGUGAGAUAGAGAAAUGUAAAAAAAUAUAUAAAAGCCACAGUCCUUGAGGAUAUUGUUGCAAACUCAGCAUUAAUUUGGAGUCUGAAGUCCUGACUUUGCACUCCAAUCAGAAUACCAACCAAAGGACAUUUUGCUGGUGUUUUACUGAUUAUGUUAACAAGAGAGCGUGUGUUAGAGGUUCACUAAAGAUCAUGACUAAAGUGGGCCAAACUGAUGUUGUUCGUGCAUUUCUUCCUACAUUAUAGGCAUAGAAGUCAUCCAAGAUGACCAAUAACUUCUCAGUCAUGCCUUAGAAAGCUCAGCUUUCUAAGUUUUAUUUUAAAGCAAAAACUGGGGUCUAGAGAGAUGGACCAUGGGUUAAGAUGCUGGCUGCUCUAACAAAGGACCUGAGUUCAGUUCCCAGCAUCCACAUAGUAGCCUGUGAGUUCAGCUCAGAGGAUAGGAUGCCCUCUUCUGGAUUCUGCAGGCACUUCAUGCAUGCAAUGCACUUAUAUGCAGGCAUAAUAUCCAUACACUUAUAUGCAGGCAUAAAACCAAGACUGCUUUGGUCUAAUACUAGAUUUCCCAAAUGAAUUAUCAAAUGUCAAUCAAGAGGAAGAUACUGAUUCAAUGCAAUCCCCAUCAGAAUUCCAAUCCAAUUCUUCAGAGAGUUAGACAGAACAAUUUGCAAAUUCAUGUGGAAUAACAAAAAACCCAGGUUAGCUAAAACUAUCCUCAAAAAAAAAAUGACUUCCAGAGAAUCACUAUCCCUGAUCUCAAGCAGUAUUACAGAGCAAUAGUGAUAAAAACUGCAUGGUAUUGGUACAGAGACAGGCAGAUAGACCAGUGGAAUAGAAUUGAAGACCCAGAAAUUCCCACACACCUAUGCUCACUUGAUUUUUGACAAAGGAGCCAAAACCACCCAAUGGAAAAAAGAUAGCUUUUUCAUCAAAUGGUGCUGGCUCAACUGGAGGUCAACAUGUAGAAGAAUGCAGAUUGAUCAACGCUUAUUACCCUGUACAAAGCUUAAGUCCAAGUAGAUCAAGGACCUCCACAUCAAACCAGAUACACUCAAACUAAUAGAAGAAAAAGGGGAAAAAUCUGGAACACAUGGGCACUGGAAAAAAUUUCCUGAACAAAACACCAAUGGCUUAUGCUCUAAGAUCAAGAAUUGACAAAUGGGAUCUCAUAAAACUGCAAAGCUUCUGUAAGGCAAAGGACACUGUUGUUAGGACAAAACAGCAACCAACAGACUAGAGAAAGAUCUUUACCAAUCCUACAACAGAUAGAGGGCUUAUAUCCAAAAUAUACAAAGAACUCACAAAGUCAGACUGCAGGGAGACAAAUAACCAUAUUAAAAAAUGGGGUUCAGAGCUAAACAAAGAAUUCACAGCUGAGGAAUGCCGAAUGGCUAAGAAACAUCUAAAGAUAUUUCAACACCUUUAGUCAUAAGGGAGAUGCAAAUCAAAACAACCCUGAGAUUUCACCUCACGCCAGUGAGAAUGGCUAAGAUCAAAAACUCCGGUAACAGCAGAUGCUGGCGAGGAUGUGGAGAAAGAGGAACACUCCUCCAUUGUUGGUGGGAUUGCAGACUGGUACAACCAUUCUGGAAAUCAGUCUGGAGGUUCCUCAGAAAAUUGGACAUUCCACUACCUGAGGACCCAGCUAUACCUCUCUUGGGCAUAUACCCAAAAGAUGCCCCAACAUAUAACAAAGACACGUGCUCCACUAUGUUCAUAGCAGCCUUAUUUAUAAUAGCCAGAAGCUGGAAAGAACCCAGAUGCCCUUCAACAGAGGAAUGGAUACAGAAAAUGUGGUACAUCUACACAAUGGAAUAUUACUCAGCUAUCAAAAACAAUGCCUUUAUGAAAUUCAUAGGCAAAUGGAUAGAACUGGAAAAUAUCAUCCUGAGUGAGGUAACCCAAUCACAGAAAAACACACAUGGUAUGCACUCAUUGAUAAGUGGAUAUUAGCCCAAAUGCUCGAAUUUCCCUGGAUGCACAGAACACAUGAAACUCAAGAAGGAUGACCAAAAUGUGAAUGCUAUACUCCUUUAAAAAGGGGAACAAGAAUACCGUAGGAGGGGAUAGGAAGGCAAAGUUUAGAGCAGAGGCUGAAGGAACGCCCAUUCAGAGCCUGCCCCACAUGUGGCCCAUACAUAUACAGCCACCCAAUUAGAUAAGAUAGAUGAAGCAAGAAGUGCAGGCUGACAGGAACCAGAUGUAGAUUUCUCCUGAGAGACACAGCCAGAAUACAGCAAAUACAUAGGCGAAUGCCAGCAGCAAACCACUGAACUGAGAACGGGACCCCCACUGAAGGAAUCAGAGAGAGGACUGAAAGAGCUUAAGGGGCUUGAGACCCCAUAUGAACAACAAUGCCAACCAACCAGAGCUUCCAGGGACUAAGCCACUACCCAAAGACUAUACAUGGACUGACCCUAGGCUCCAACUGCAUAGGUAGCAAUGAAUAGCCUAGUAAGAGCACCAGUGGAAGGGGAAGCCCUUGGUCCUGCCAAGGCUGGACCCCCAGUGAAUGGGAUUGUUGGGGGGAGGGCGGUAAUGGGGAGAGAAUGGGGAGGGGAACACCCAUGAAGAAGGGGAGGGGGAGUGGUUAGGGGGAUGUUGGCCUGGAAACUGGGAACGGGAGUAACAUUUGAAAUAUAAAUAAGAAUACCCAGUUUAAUAAAGAUGGGGGGAAAAAGAACUGUAAAAAAAAAAGAUGGAGAUACUGAGCCUUUUUAUGCCUCAGUUUCUCACAGUCACUUCAUGAACUAAUAAACAUUCCUUGCACAUAGAAUGUAGUCACACUGUGCAUAUUAGCUAUUGCUAAUAUUAAUGAUUUUACUUCAGGUUGAUAAUGAAACCUAGUAUUCAUUAAAAAAUUUGCCAAAUUUAAAAUUAACUAUAUUAUAUAGUUCAUGAAGGAGUUAUAGUAUUAUAUUUAUAGAGAGAUCCAUGGCUUUUAUCCCAUGAAGCAGUCAUCAUUUGGUGGGCCAUCUGGCAGUGAUCAUAGUUCUAUUGAAAUCUACCACUAAGGCUAAUUACUCCCCAAGUGGGCUCUUGGGAGUGGAAGACAUCCCUUAGACUCUCAGGCACAUUGACUGCAGUUACACGGUACGAGCAGAACUGUGCGUGCCAAGAUAACAGUCAGGCCAUGUCAUUCUUUUAGGUUUCAAAGAAAACAAGUGUCACUCUUAAGAAGUUUAGCCACACCGUCCCUGAUACAGUCCUCAGAAUGGUGCUGUAAUUUGUAUGCCAUAUACUUGGCUUUAACAAGGCUUUUAAGUCUGUUAGGCAGGUUGGAGGAUUAGAAAGCCCUACGCAGACAGGCUGUGCACGGACAUUUAUAAGCAGCAUUUGUUUACUCUGUAAAGAGCCAGUGGCGAGAAUAUAGAUGCAGACGAGAGAUAGCAGACACAUCUGCAGUGACUAAUAGCACCAAACAAGGCCACGCUCAUACACCAUUAUCAUCUGCUAUCGGGUUUUGUUUUUUCCGUCGCUUUUUUUAAGAUGCCCUUUGAUGCCUCCAGAGAUUGAAAUUCCAUAUAAGCACGAAGGUUAGGUCAGAUAAGAAUGCACGCAGCCUCUACUGUAUGCAGAUGUCAGAAGAAUGUUAUUAGUUGGAAUAUAAAUAAUCUUAUUACAUACCGUCUGCAUGCCGGUGUCUGCACACUUGUGGCUUGUCACCAGAAUGAGGAAUGACAACACUUAGGCUCUUGCUAAGUUGUGCAUCACAGUCUCGAGGCAGAGAGAGACUCUCUGAAGUUUCUAUGGAUCACCCCUGGAUGUGAGAGAUAAAUUUCAUCACCCAGCACUGUCAUGUCUUGCAGUCCGUCAUCAAUAACUAACAAACAGAGAUCUAUGGAAUUGGUAUACAAGGCUCGGUGAGAAAUGGCACUGUUCGGGACCAGAGAGCUAUAGAGUGAGCUCCUUUCCCCAAAGAUGGGCAGUAGCACGCAGAUAACACAGAAGAAUCGGUCAAUGAGAAUAUGAUACUGUUGAUACUAGUUGGCCAUAACUGGGCUGGAGAGAUGGCUCAACAGUUACUUGUACCGCUCUUGCAGAGGACCCCAGUUCAAGGCCCAGCGCCCAUGUUGAACAGCUUACAAACUCUCUAACUCCGCCUUCAGAGAGAUUCAAUGUCUCUGGCUCCUAGGGAUACGUGCACUCACAUGCAUAUGUCCACACAGCUAAUUUUAAAUAAUAAAAAUAUCUUAAAAAGUACUACACAAGACCGCAAUAGAACUUUAUAGUCUUACACGUGGUGGUGCAUGUAAUCAUGGUAAAGUCAUAGACCAUUGAUAGAGAUUAUACAGAGAGAUGUUUUUAAAAUGGGCUUUUUGGAUUUUUAUCUAUUUUUAGUCUGUGUGUAUGGGUGUUUUGCCUGCAUGUCUGUAUAUGUGUGCAGAGUCCCGAAGAGGGCAUGAGAUCUCCUGGAACUGGUGUUUGACUGACUGAGUGUGGUCUUAGAAGAAAACCCAGGUCCUUUGGAAGAGUAUCCAGUGCUCUUAACCACUGAGUAAUUUCUCGAGCCCCUAAAUAUGUGUAUAGUUUAAUUAGAACACAUCCCUUCCUUUCUUGUCUUUUCUCCUUCUAGUCCUGUCCAGCCACCCUCCUUUGAGGCACUCCUGUGUCUCCUGCUCUCCAGUUGAUAGCUUCUUUUAUUAUUGAUGUACAGUACAUACACAUACAUGUGUAUGUAUACAAUGCAUAUGUGUGUAUGUAUGUGUAUGUCUGAAUAAUACAGUUUAGUGAGAUCGUUUUUGUUGUUUGUAUAUAUAUUGCUUUGGUACUGACCAUUCUGUACUGGAUAACCAAUAAGGGAGCUCAUCCCUGGGGGGAGCAGCUAAUUUUCCUCCCAGAAGACAUUCAUUGGCUGUAGUUAAAAUAGACUUUAUUGUGAGCUGAAAUGGAGAGAAUUUUUCAGUUAGAAAGACCAGCACAGCAGUAAGAAAAUGCUAGCCAGCUAUAAUGGCUGCAGAGAGCAAACCAUGUUAGAAAUAUACAGUGUGGGCAAAGCCAGCCUUCUGUAACUGGGACAGCAUACCUGUGAGGAUGAACAGCGGCAGCUCAGAUAUAACUCGACCCAGAAUAACCACUGAGCAACACACGAACCUUUGUGGUUGUGUUUGCCAGCGAGUAUUUAGGGCUUAGAUUAUGGUUUGGCAAGUGGUGGAUACGCAAUGAAGCCUUCAUUCAAUUCGUGAUUAGGUAUAGUCUAAAAGGCAGGCUGGAAAAAUUGUCUGGAACAAGUUGCAGGAGAAAUAGAGGGCUUCGCAGUUGGAACUUUAUCAUAUAGGUAUAGAUUUUUAGCCAGGCAAAACCCAAAUACAUUAAUCAGGCAUUAUCCUGUGACCCACGGCUCUGAUUGGUUGUUGAAAGAGGUUUCUGUUCCCAAAAGGGUUGAGCAAGGGAUGAUGUCAUGUUAGUAUCUGAGUUUCUGUAUUGAAUGGAAAAGGAGAAAAUGAAGAACCCAAAGCAAAGAAGGCCUGAGGAGAGGUGCCUGCCAGAGUCUGUUUGGGGUCUGUUUGUCUUCCAGUGGUAGAAGGAAAUGGGGGUGUUUGGUGGAAGCUGUGCUUUGUGAGAUGCUCAAUGGUGCUUUGGAGAAAUAAGGGGAUAAGAGCAAUGAAGUGAACAUAGAUUCCAAAACCCCUCCUUCAAUGAAGGUUACUUCUGAGCCUCCGAAGGCGUCCAUCUGAGACGCUCUUCCCGUCGCCGUGGCGAGGUGGUGUUUCUCUGAGGUCUCAAUUAGACAGAAGGGGUUGCUCUCCUUCCUUGAGUUAAAGAAAAAGGUCUGUGUCUGCUGUAAAUUGUAAAACCAAAGGAAUGCCUAAGUUGGAUUUUUCAAAAUUACAUGGUUUAAACUUUUUGUCUUAUGCAUGAAAACUGUUAUUUCUACAAAUAAUCGGGUGUCAGCAACGUGGCAGACAGGCAGAUGUUUCGUCAGCUGACACCGCUGAGCCCUGUACUUGUUCAAUAUGAAAAAGUACAAAGUAAAAGAUUCCAAGAUUUGCGAAUUCAAGAAAUAGAUUUCCUCGUUGCCAGUGCAAAGUAGUUUGACUAGAUCAUAUUUGAAGGGGAAUGUUGUAAUCUUACAAACGAACAUACCAGCUCUCACAGUGCCCCUCAGUUAACGCAAAGACUUGAGAGCUGUGACAUCAGAGGAGCUUCUGCUCACAGUCACCUAUGAUCACGUGAGUCAGCAGGGAAGAGAAACAUCCUGGGUUUUAAGCUGACCAGAUGAAGAAGGCUGUGGAAAGGAGACGCUUUCUUAUGAAGGAAAACACUUCGCUCCUCAAGCAGAUUGCAAAUGAGCCCCCCUCCCCCUCCCCGUUGCUUCCUAGACAUGUCACAAGAGUCUAGAACCAGUGACCUUGGCUACUCUAUAGAGUGGGAGGGUGCAGUGGCCAUAGCGCUGGCCAUAGUCUCCAUCUCCUCAGUUUAUGCCAGUCUCUGCCUGUUUCCAGGGCUGCAGCAGGUAUAAAGUCUCCAUGCCUACUGUGUGGUGGAUGGCUCUCUGGCGGACUCUGGUGGUGGAUGCUCUGCAUGUUUCCAGACAGAACAGCCCAAGACUGACUCUAUUAGAGAACAUUUGAAAAGAUAAUCAAGAAGUAUAAACAAAUAGCCCAUAUACUAAAGUCCCCUGUUUUGGACCUUAGUACAAUUUUAACUUGCAGCUAUGACUCUGAAGCAUCACAAUAUCACAGACAGUGAGCACAAGCGUCUUAGAGUGAGUACGCAUGUGACGUGUAACGCUGUUUCUUGGUUGAAGGGAAGGAAUUAAUCAUGUAAAGUCAACUCAAGGUAUGUGUGCCUGUGUGUAUUUAAGUUCUCAGAGCUCGUGUGCCUCUCAUUUUUCAGACAGGCACUUCUCAACAUAUGUCAGCAUGUCUGUGGGUUUUCUCACUGUGUUGCUAGCAUUUGGAUUGCCAGCCGGCCUUCAACCUGAGCACUAAAGUUUUUAAUUAUUAUAGUCAUUGAAUGAACAAAUGAAUUGGAGAUAUUGAUUUGUUAUAUUAAGGAGAGCUAAUGCAUGUGUUUCCACGCAUAUAUUAGCAUACUGCAUCAGAGAUCAUGUCUCAUCUCUUCCCCUUUUUUCCAUUUUAAUUUUUGAUAGACCAUGUAUAAUCAGUGAAAUAAACGCCAUCCAUUAGUGAGCUUGGUCUUCCCUGAAGUAUUAAUAUUCUAAACAAUCCUAUUACCCGAGCAUUAUUUUGAUAGUUUAUUAAAAGUCCUGCAGCUCUCACAUUGCUAUAUCUAAACAAGCUUUACGCAAUUAAAGUUAUAAUAGGAACUUUAUUACAAUGAUGUAUAACUUGUAUCAUCCUAAUAAAAGUUCCUGUACACAGCGAUGCUUUAAUAAUGCUGUUUCUGUAACCCUGCUUCCUUAGUAAUGGGGCUUCUCUCAUGGCAACUUCAUUAUUAGGAAAUGAUCUCAGUAAUAGAAAUGCAAAUACCGAGUUUGAAAGGAGCGUUGUGUGCACAGCUCUAUUAUUGACCUGCUGUCUUCUCAUGCAUUGCAUAUCAUCAUUAUAAGCCAACCAUGUAGAUUAUAGUUAUGAUUACGACCAUGCUGUUACAUUUUAGCAUUCAUGUCAUUCCAGGUUGGCACUGACUGCCAUUUUAAGAUGAAAUUCAGGGGUUAAAAUGAUUUAAAUUUUAAUUAAAAUUAGUUUCAAAAGCAUUAAAAUGACUUACAAAACUUUCUCUAAUUUCUAUUGUAUCUCAGAUUGAGUAGACAUCGGCCCUUAAAAUGGGGUGUUCCCUUGAUAUUCACACUGUCUUCUGAAUAGAUAUAGGAGAAUAAUGCUUUGAGGGAAAUGAUUUUAUAUCUCCAACUUUCAUAGAUACCCGCUCAAAAACCCUGACUGUGGAGACACUUGAAGCAGAGAUUUUCCCCUUCCACCCCUGCCCCAUGCCCUUUGAGCUUUGCUCAUACCAGGACACUGAACAAGCAGUAACUUGGCAACUUCAUUUAUGGCACCCCACGGCCCAGAUUAUACUUUUCAGUAUAAGGGAGCAGAGGAGGUAGGUAAGUGCUUCGGAUAUGGAGACAGAGAGUCUCCGAGGAGCCAUCUAAGCUUUCUUCUCCUAUCUAUAAGAUGGGGAUAAUGAUAGUAGGAUAUUGAAAUGGUCAUGGUGAUUUAUAUACAUAUGAAAAACUGUACUAAUAGAAAAUAUUUAUGUACUGAUGAAAAUAGGUGCUAAUACUUAUGUAUGCUAUACGAUGCUUUUACUCGUAGUUUCAAAAAUUACUUUUGCUUUGUAUGCUUCCUCCCUUAUUAAAAUUUAAAUAUAUUUGUUAUUUCAACCAACUAAGUACUAGUGAAAAUUUUCAGUGCCAAUUAAAUCAGAUACUCAAUAUAAUAUUUUCUGAAAAAUAUAUAUGUUCUCUAUAUAUAUUUGUUUUAAGCUUUACAUAAAGAUCAAUGAAAUUAUUUUAAACAUAAAAUAUAUAUUGAGAUAAAAAGUAGGAUGGAAAUAUGACAGAGAGAAAAAUAAAAGAUCCAAGAGUUUGUGUGUUUUUCAGUGAAUGAUGGUGGGUAUGUAUCUUCCGUUGAAAACAUCUAAGAGAGUUAUGUAGUAGUUUCAUUUACGAUCACCAGUUUGUACAGUACACUGAAAAUGACAUGUAUAUAGUGUUUAGGUACACAUAAACAAAAACAUUUGAAAAGUGAAGAUAUAACAGACAUGAAAUUAUCUCUAUAAUAUAUGUUUCUCUGAAUACCCACUUUGCUUGAAAACAGUGUGUUUUUUUUUUAACAAGUUCUGAAGCUGUGUAAAUCAUAGAAGUCAGAACCUCUCAGCCCUGCAUAAGAGACUUCACUGACACAUCUCUUACUUCCCUGAGUACUUGGCAUGCUCCCACAUAGGUAGUAAGCUGGGGCAGGAGCCUUCUAGGGCCUUGCUUUGCUCCAGGCAGGCUGGCUGAGCCCAUCCCUGCCCUGUGGCGGAGGAGGAGAGAUGGAGCUUGGAUGAACUGGCCUUUAUGGAGAACAUCCCAGGAUGUCAUUCUGUACUUAGAAAAUUGAAUAAGAGGAAAUGUGUGUGUCUUAAGCAUGUUUACUGCUUAUUACAUUUAUGUGAGUCGGCGUGUGCACAUUCGUUUUUGUUUUUUAUUUCAUACUAUGCUUCGUGUUGAAAGUUUGGAUGCCACCUUGUUUGUGAGUAAAUUUCAUAUCAGGAUAUCAAAGAUACAGUUCUGUAGGUCGAUAUCUAGACUUAAUAUUCCUGUUUCAAUUUUUCGUUGUAUUUCAGUUUUUAUCAUUGUUUGUGUGGAGGUCAGGCAGUCGGAGAACAGCUGGUUGGAGUCAGUUCUCACCUUCUACUGUGUAGUUCCCGGGGAUAGAACUCAGAUAGUCACAGUUGAUGGCAAGCCCCUUUAACCUUUGAACCAUCUCACUAGCCACUUCCUUGAUAUUCCUUUUCAGACCCUUUGCAGGGUAAAUAGAGUUUUUCUGAGGUGUAUGUUAACACUAUACACCGAUCAAUGCAGGAGCUCAGGCAAAUAUGAGCUUUAGUUAAUUUGAUUUUCUAUGGCCUACUUCUGUGGCCCUUUGAGACUCAACCAGCAGCUUGUAGAAGAGACUCAUGUCAGAUAAUACAAGCCUGUUCCUAGAAACUAGAGCUUUGAAGCAUACUAGUUUUGAAAAGUCACAGACUCUUGCCCUACCUGUCAGGACAUACUUUAUAUAUUUACAAGUGUUCUAGAUAGUCAAGCACAACCCUUCUCCCCGUGUCAUUUUGCAACAAGUCGGUCAUUUCUCAGUUCGCAUCCUCACAUCUCAGUGGUCAUGUCGAAAGUGGCUUAAAACCUAAGCUAGUUGCCUAGGACCUUAUAAAAGAUGCUGCGUACUGUUUAGAUGAAAUAUUGCAAAGUUGCAAUAUUAAGACAGUGUUACUUUACAAUGCAGUUUGUAUUGGGGCAACAAAAGUUAACUGAAUCUUCUUUUGAAGUGAUAGGCAAUAUAAAUAUUCCUACUGUUUUAACACAGUCAUAAAUGUUACUGUAGGGAGAUAAGCCAUAAGGAAGAAUAUGUAUGCGCAAUGUGUAAUAGUAUAAAACUGGAAAAUCAUCCAAGUGUUUCAUUGUGGUGUAACGUUUACACACUGUGAUUUGUUAACAAGAUGGAAUAUUAUGUAGAGGAAGUUGCAAUAAAGAAUAAUAUAUGUGAAAUAAUAUUAAGAAGUAGGAUAUUUUGGUCACAAACAUAUUCAUUGGUUAUUACAUAACUAUUACAGGUAUUACUAUGUAGGUAGGUACAUACAUUUCUACAUCUCAAUAAGUCCUGAGCAGAAUUCACCUCCGGCAGGAAGGAAGGAGGCUAAAGGACUCCUGAGUCUGAAGCUCCAAGGAACUUGACUUUUCUGUUUGGAAGGAGAAAAGAAUGGCUGGCUUAGCUUCAGCCUCCAUCUCAUACACAUAUCAUCUCGUGCACAUAUCAUCUCAUACACAUAUCAUCUCAUACACAUAUCAUCUCAUGUACAUAUCAUCUCAUGUACAUAUUAUCUCAUACACUAUCAUCUCAUGCACAUAUCAUCUCAUACACAUAUCAUCUCAUACACAUAUCAUCUCAUGCACAUAUCAUCUCAUGCACAUAUCAUCUCAUGCACAUAUCAUCUCAUACACAUACCAUCUCAUGCACAUAUCAUCUCAUGCACAUAUCAUCUCAUGCACAUAUCAUCUCAUGCACAUAUCAUCUCAUACACAUACCAUCUCAUGCACAUAUCAUCUCAUACACAUAUCAUCUCAUACACAUAUCAUCUCAUGCACAUAUCAUCUCAUACACAUAUCAUCUCAUACAUAUAUCAUCUCAUACACAUAGCAUCUCAUACACAUAGCAUCUCGUACACAUAUCAUCUCAUACACAUAGCAUCUCGUACACAUAUCAUCUCAUACACAUAUCAUCUCAUACACAUAUCAUCUCAUACACAUAUCAUCUCAUACACAUAUCAUCUCAUACACAUAGCAUCUCGUACACAUAGCCAUCUCAUACACCUAUCAUCUCAUACACAUAUCAUCUCAUACACAUAGCAUCUCAUACACAUAGCCAUCUCAUAUACCUAUCCAUCUCAUACACAUAUACAUAUACCAGGUUCCAUCUCAUACACAGAGCCCCUGCCUUUCCUGGUAUCAGUCUGCUUUCAGGACCCUGAACUCCCCUGGGUUUCUAGGCGUUCUUGUCUAGAAAAGCCCACUAAGUUUUUACAGUGCUGUUGUUGCUAUUACCAUGAUUACUUUCUUGUUUUUAUUUGACACAGGGUUUUGCUUUGUAGCUUAGCCAGCCUUGAGUUUGCAGUCUACCUGCUUCAUGAUGAAAGCCCAUAGUCCCAUAGGGCUACUUCAAGUUUGAGGCUAGCCUAGGUUACAUAGUGAGACCCUGUCUCUGAAAUAAAAAGGAAGGAAUCGGAGAGAGGAAGAAACUGUGACCUUUGACCUUAGUGCAAUCCUUUACUUACUUCCAAAAUACUCACAUGCAAUUGUCUCAAGAGCCCUAAACUUAAAACUCCCAGUGAUCAUACUUCUGUGACCAGGACUUGCUCUGUCACACUUCAGCUAUGGGUAGCAUCGUGCUACCUUGUUUCUAACUAUUGUUUCUAACUGUUAAUAGUCAGGACAAUAGGAAAACUAAUGUCCCUGAGCUCAGUGUUUAUAGGUCAGAGAUUUACCUAACAGUUUUCCUUAUUGGAAGGGGUUGCACAGUAUCUGCAAUGAAUUCAUCACAUCUCUGGGAAUUUUUUUCUUGGAGUGUCUUUGAGAGAGCUUCUAAAGAGAAAAACUAAUUUUAGCUCAACAAAAUCCCCAGGAACGUGCUUCAGGGAAGAGGGGGGGACAGCAGAGCACCUUAUUAUCAGAAUGGGGUGAGAAGCAGGAGGAGCCACGUAAUUGCCGGGAGCCUGAGCUCUGAGUGGAUUCUCUCAUUAGAAAUUUACACUGAUUAUAUGUAUCUAAAGAGAACAUUGUGGCAUUAUAAAAACUGAUCUGGAAGAUUCAUCGAUAUUUUUUCUGUUGCUUUCAAAUUCUACCUGGCAUGAUUCUAAAAAGUAAUAGUGUUAUACAUAAUAUACGCGCACAUAUAUAGGCUGCUGUUUUAUUUUGUUAAUAAAAUAUCUUCCUUGUGAUGGUUGCUAUGCAUUAGUGCCUGGUUUUCAAUAAAUUAGUAUGUUUGUGUGAAUUUGUUCUUAAAACUCUCAAACUCUCUGACUAUCCAUUGCUAAAUUCUCUGGAUAGUCAAAAGUGUUAUCACUAUUUUACAUGGAUCUCAGGCGUCUGGGCCAGAUAUUGCCAUCAUUCUGAAACACAGUGCAAGGGGGGAGUAGUGUACUGAUGCUUGGAAAGGGUAGGUCACAGUGAUUUCACCUAAAAACAGAGUGAAUGUACCAUGUUGGUGUCUCAUGCUUAAGUUCUGUUUAGUGUCAACAGACAGCAUUGGAAACCUAAUUCUCCUUUUUUCUAUUUAAGUUUACACACACACACACACACACACACACACACACACACAUAUUAUGCAAACACACACAUAUAUACACAUUCAUUGUAUAUACACAUAUAUUGUAUAUAUACACAUGCAUGUAUUGGUUGUAGAUAUACACAGAUACACAUAUUGUACACACCCAUAUGCAUACAUUGUGUACACACAUAUAUAUUGUGAAUAUACACAUACAUAUAUUUAUUAUAUAUAUACAGACACACAUACAUAUAUUGUGUAUACACACUACUAUAUAGACUAUACACACGUUGUGAUUGUGGCUUUACCUCGGGAGCAUAACCCACAGAGCACAGAUUGACAAAGUGACCGCUGCAAUAGCAUGAGGUUUUUUAAUCCAUGUAUGUGGGGUUGCUAAUCCAUGCAGGGAGAGGCAACCCUGAACCCAAAAAGCACACAACUUUUAUUCGUUACAGAGGGCAGACUUCAGCAACAGGGUUAGCUGACCUAUUCUCAUUGGUGGUACACAGAACAAGGGAUCUGGUCAGGUAUUGGCUGGCCUGCUCAAGGGGCUGUUCUUGGCUCAAUUAGUCACUUUCCUCCUCCAGCCCUACACCUGGCCUUGAAGAAUCACUGGGAAAGGGCUAAGUUGGCACGUCUCUUAGAGGGGGGGCGGGGUGAACUGAGUGGUCGGGCAGGGUCAGGAUGACAUCUUGCGGUUGUUCUCGGAAUUUACCACAGGGAGAGGUAGAGGGUUUCUCCAAGAACAGUUGUUAUUGUUUUGUCUUAAUUAGCUUAGUCAGAAUCUUGAUCACCAAAACUUUAUCAUAUCACUGGGCAUACCACCAGAUGUAUUUCUCAAAACCUUGUUUUUAUAACUUUGUUUCUCAUAUCUAUGAAACUUUGAAACUUUAUUUCUUCAUGAUCACAUUGUGAUGGUUUGUAUAUGCUUGGCCCAGGGAAUGCUCUAUUUGGAGGUGUGGCCUUUUUGGAGUAGGUGCGUCACUGUAGUGUGGGCUUUAAGACCAUACUCCUACUGCCUGGAAGUCAGUCUUCCACGAGCAACCUUCAGAUGAAGAUAUAGAACUCUCGGCUCUGCCUACAUCACACCUACCUAGACGCUGCUCCACCCUGAUGAUAAUGGACUGAACUUCUGAACCUGUUUAAGAGAGUCUGCAGCAGCUAGAGACACUGGGCCGCCGUGGAAUUGGGAUGUGUGCUUCUGACAAGGAGCAUCCAAUACUUGGGCAACCAUUUUUUGUUCUACAUCCCUGCAAGACAAAUGAAUUCAUGACUGCUGUGCUAAAGAAUUCACAGAAAAUCA